CUAGUGGAGUGGAGUACCGCGCUGGUGGUAAUGCCUGACACGCGCGGUCCUUGAGCUCUGUGUACGAAACGAUAGAGAUGUGUGCGUGCUGUGUGUGUGUGCCGUCUGGAGAUGCGCCCGAGAGUGUGUGUGUGCCCGUGUUCGGGAUGGAUGGAUCAUCCCAGUUACCUGAUGUAUCAACUGUUAAAUGGUAAUUAUGUUUGGCUUACUUUUACAUGGUUUUCUGAGGCAUCCAAAUGUUGGUUGGUUUGGACUCGUGAAAUGAACUCGCUGGAAAUUUGGGAACUACUAGCAUGUACAGUAGGGCUGCCCUGCACUUCUUGGUACGUGCCGUCUUUACUCUUCGAUUCGAUGGUCGCAGCAGAGGGUGGGUGAGAACUUGAAGUUCAGUUCAUGCAUGCACAUACAGCAAGAGAUGUCUGAAGGAUUCUGAAAUCUAAUUACAUCCGACUCAGCCUCAGCGUGCGCACAACAUGCAAAAACUGAUGGUCUCAAGCGAGAACAAAGUUUGUGUUAUUGGCUGGAGAUGGAUCAUGCUCGUCCACUAAUGAAUGCACCCAAAUAAUCAUAUCGGCAAAGAGCAAAGUUAAUAAGUCAUACUAGACCGAAGCUCUAGCUAAAGCAAUCAAAACACCCAUGAACUACAACAACGAACCUCUCGCUGGCGUGUCCAGUCGUGGCCUUCCCGAUCCAAUAUCUUGGCCUCCCCUUCACCUCAGAAAGGUGCCGGCCUCCCAGCUCCAACCCCUCGUGGACAAACUACUUCGUAAGAUGGCAACUUGGAAGGCCAUGCUCCUCUCGCGCGGUGAGCGGCUGGCCCUGGUUCGUCAAGUCUUGACGGCUAUGCCCGUGCACAUUCUUCUGGCCAUAUCGCUCUCCCCCCUAUUCUGAAGAAGGCAAACAGGAUCAUCCACGACUUCCUGUGGCAUGGAUGCCGAGACGCUCGCGCGGGCUGCUAUCUCGUCAGUUGGGCGCGAGUCUGUCGCCCGAUCGAGCUUGGCGGCCUCGGGAUUCGGGACCUCCACCGAACUGGCAUCUCCCUCCGUGUUAGAUGGCUCUGGCUACACGCCUCGGACAGCUCACGCCCCUGGUCUCAUCUUCAGCCGCCCUUGGACCCCGAAGCUCUCCAAUUCUUCCGGGCCUCGGCGGCGUGGACACUUGGCAACGACACCUCCUGCCGCUUGUGGACUGACAAAUGGUUGCAGGGCUGCUCCAUCCAGGACCUGGCCCCAAGCCUGGUGGCCCUCGUACCGAGCCGACCUCCCCACUCUCGCACGGUUGCGACCGCCCUUCAUGGCCGCGCCUGGAUCCGCGAUAUCCACGGCUCUCUUGGCCCGGAGGCCAUGCUCCAGUACGUCGACAUCUGGCGCAGGCUUCAGUCCGUCGCCCUCACCGUGGAGCCUGACAUUAUUCGCUAGAAGUGGACGGAGCACGGUACCUAUUCCGCCUCCUCCUGCUACGCUGCCCUCUUUACUGGCUCCACGAUGUCCGAGGAUUGGUGCCUGGUGUGGAAAUCUGGCGCCCCCUCUCGGUCAAAUUCUUCAUCUACCUCGCGUCCGUCAACCGCUAUUGGACGGCUGAUCGCCUGGCCCGCCGCGGGUUGCCGCACGAACCGACAUAUGUGCUAUGCUCCCAACAAGCUGAGACCUUGCACCACAUCCUCAUCGAGUGUGUGUUCACCCGCACCAUCUGGCACGGCAUCCUCUCUUGGUGUUGCCCCAUGAUUGCGGCUUCGGAUGGCUCUCUGGGCUUCUUCGACUGGCUGAGCAAGAUUCUCCCUUCGGCAACUUCCGACAAGCGACGCGGCCUUUCCACCAUCGCGGUGCUCACACAUGGUCUCUCUGGCGCCACCGCAAUGCCGUGAUUUUUGACAAGAUUAUGCCCUCUUCCGCCUCGCUCCUGGCUGCGAUUCAAGAGGAUGCUUGCUCCUGGGCCUGCGCCGGAGCCAAAGGACUUAGCACCACUAUCCCUGUAAUCUAACCUUCAUUGUAGGGCCGAGCAACCCAUUCCCAUGCUCACUCGCAUCACGGUAGCGCCAUUCUGUGUAUGCGCCCGUGAUGCCAACCUGUACGUUCACUCCCCUUAUCAAUGCAAUGAUACACUCCUAAGCGUAUUCGCGAAAAACUAAAACAAUGAUCAUCCAUAUCAACCAUCUAUUGACUUCAUAAAAAUUACCAGAAAGGUUGGAUGACACCAACGCCUUCGAAAAGGGAACAAUGCUCAAAUGACAUCCAGAUCCAACUACCAAGAUUCAAAUCCUCGAAGGGAGCAAUGCUCAAUUGACAUCCGGAUCCAACUACCAAGAGUCAAAUCUUAGGUUUUCACCGUGAAGAUAAAAGUCCGAGUAAAUCCAAACCACGAAGCUCUAGACCUCGUACUUGAAAAUCAUCACCAAAUCAAAAUCAUGUGUUGUAGCCACUAUUUUGCGCUAUCCCAGCAGUCACAUGCAUAGCACAGUUUUGAUGUGAAAUGCCAUGCAAAUGAUGACCACGCCCGCACAAGUAGGCAUUCAACUCCAAUAAGUCUCUGUGAAAUGCACAGAACGACAAAGAUUGUCACUGCACAUGCGACAAAAAAUGUCAAGGAAGGAAGGUCAUCGGCACCGCCGAAAUCCUAAUUGGGGACACUUUGGUAGUCCCGAACUACCCUCAUACUUCGGCAUCCUCAUCUACGACGACAUAAUUGAUCGACAAAACAAGUUCGUCGUUGCCGCCGAAUGGGAAGCCUGAAGAUCCUCCAACUUACCGUGACAACCACCUAGCAGCACGGGAACACAACGCGGUCCGCGCCCCUGAUACGCCUCCAUCGUAUCUACUUUUCCUAACGCUUUUGCUCUUGUUUUGGACUCUAAUUUGCAUGAUUUGAAUGAAACCAACCCGGAUUGACGUUGUUUUCAGCAGAACUACCAUGAUGUUGUUUUUUGUGCAGAAGUAAAAGUUCUCGGAAUUGGACGAAACUUUUUGGAGAAUUAUUUUGGAAUAUAUAAAAAUACUGGAACCAAGACCCACUGGAGGGGGGGGCAGCUGGCCACUAGGCACUAGGGCGCCACCCCCCCUCUAGCGCGCCAUGGUGGGUAGUGGGGCCCACGAGGCUCCGCUGACCCUAAUUCCAACUCUAUAAAAUCCUAUUUUUGGAGAAAAAAAGAGAGGAAGUUUCAUCGCGUUUUACGAUGCGGAGCCGCCGCCACCUCGUGUUCUUCAUCGGGUGGACAGAUCUGGAGCCCGUUCGGGGCUUCGGAGAGAGGGAUCUUCGGUCUUCGUCAUCACCAACCAUCCUCCAUCACCAAUUUGAUGAUGCUCACCGCUGGGAGUGAGUAAUUCCUUCAUAGGCUUGCUGGACGGUGGUGGGUUAGAUGUGAUACAUCAUGUAAUCGAGUUAGUUUUGUUAGGGCUUGAUCCAUAGUAUCCACUGUGUUCUGACACUGAUGUUGCUAUGACUUUGCUAUGCUUAAUGCUUGUCACUAGGACCCGAGUGUCAUGAUUUCAGAUCUGAAUCAUUUAUGUUUUCACCAUUAUAUCUAUGUUCAUGAUCCGAUCUUGCAAGUUAUAUGCACCUAUUACGUGUUAUGAUCCGUAAACCCUAAGGUGACAAUGAUUGGGAUACUUUCCGGUGAUGAAGUAGUUUGACGAGUUCAUGUAUUCACUAUAUGUUAAUGCUUUGUUCCGGUUCACUAUUAAAAUGAGACCUUAAUAUCCCUUAGUGUCCUUGUGGACCCCGCUGCCACGGGAGGGUAGGACAAAAAAUGUCAUGCAAGUUCUUUUCCAUAAGCACGUAUGACUAUUUAUGAAAUACAUGCCUACAUUAUAUUUAUGGACUAGAGCUAGUUUUGUGUCACCCUAGGUUACGACUGUUACAUGAUGAAUAUCAUCCAAAGAAAUCACCGAUCCAAUGCGUACGAGCUUUUCACAUAUUCUCCUUCCUAAAUUACUAUUGUUGUUGCUGUUGUUACAACUGCUACAAAAUUAUUGCUACUGCUGUUACUGUUACUAUUGCUACUGCUACUAUUGCUAUCACUAUCAAACUAUCAUAUUGUUGUGCUACUGAUCACUUUGCUGCAGUUUAAUCUCUAGGUGUGGUUGAAUUGACAACUCACUGCUAAUACUUAUAAAUAUUCUUUGACUCCCCUUGUGUCGAAUCAAUAAAUUUGGGUUGAAUACUCUACCCUCGAAAACUAUUGCGAUCCCCUUUACUUGUGGGUUAUCAGCCCCGGGAGGAGGACUGCCUCGUUGGGAUGCAGAAGAGUGCCAUUGUCGUCCGCAUACCUGCAGAUGGAUCGGGGUCACCGAUGCCUCACCCCCAAAGAUCACCAGCCUGGCCGGAAACACCGUCACCACCGUUGCACAACUAUAAACCUUUGGCUUAACUUGUAGCUCGUAGAUCACAUCUCACCGCUAAAGGCUACCGGAGCAGAGUUCUCCUUGUUGCCGCCUUCAUCACCCUGUGUGAGAACUUAGCACGUCCACUGUUCUCUAGCAGCAACAAUGCGAAGGGAAGACGAGGAAGUAGGUGGCGGUGAUAGAUUGUGGGAAAGGGAGGAGGUGGCCGAUGUUGGGUGGGAGGAGAGAUAUCGUUUGUUAGAACAACUGCACUUUACCACACAUAGUCUAUGUUAUGGGACCUUCUAUGAAUGAGUUGCGAGUCAAAAAAAUCAAUUAAGGUUUGUUGAUUCCCCUUCUUCUUCGAUGUCGCUAUUAGUCGCAUUCUCCUUCGGUCUACAUCGAAUCAUCCCCCGACACUGGCUAAACCAUUUUUGCUGCCACACAUGGCCAUUGUCGUGCCACCCCGUCGUGCCCUAUGUGCCUCCUCUAUCGUCGUCCCAGCCACCCCUCUACGGGAACCUGAUACGUCCAUUUUGCAUCAUGCUUUUAUAUCGAUAUUUAUUGCAUUAUGGGCUGUUAUUACACGUUAUGUCACCAUACUUAUGGCUAUUCUCUCUUAUUUAAAAAGGUUUAUCAUGAAGAGGGAGAAUGCCGGCAGCUGGGAUUCUAGGCUGGAAAAGGAGAAAAUAUUGGAAACCUAUUCUGCACAGCUCCAGAAGUCCUGAAACUCCACAAAAGUCAUUUUUGGAAUUAAUAAGAAUUAUUGAGCGAAAGAAGUACUAGAGGAAGCCCACACCCUGGCCACGAGGGUGGGGGGCGCGCCCACCCCUACUGGGCGCGCCCCCUGCCUCGUGGGCCCCUGGUGGCCCUCCGGUGCCCAUCUUCUGCUAUAUGAAGGCUUUUACCCUGGGGAAAAAAUCAUAAGCAAGCUUACGGGACGAAACUCCGCCGCCACGAGGCGGAACCUUGGCGGAACCAAUCUAGGGCUCCAGCGGAGCUGUUCUACCGGGGAAACUUCCCUCCGGGAGGGGGAAAUCAUCAUCAUCCUCAUCACCAACGAUCCUCUCAUCGGGAGGGGGUCAAUCUCCAUCAACAUCUUCACCAGCACCAUCUCCUGUCAAACCCUAGUUCAUCUCUUGUAUCCAAUCUUGUAUCAAAACCACAAAUUGGUACCUGUGGGUUGCUAGUAGUGUUGAUUACUCCUUGUAGUUGAUGCUAAUUGGUUUAUUUGGUGGAAGAUCAUAUGUUCAGAUCCUUAAUGCAUAUUAAUACUCCUCUGAUCAUUAACAUGAAUAUGCUUUGUGAGUAGUUACGUUUGUUCCUGAGGACAUGGGUGAAGUCUUGCUAUUAGUAGUCAUGUGAAUUUGGUAUUUGUUCGUUAUUUUGAUGAGAUGUAUGUUGUCUCUCCUCUAGUGAUGUUAUGUGAAUGUCGACUACAUGAGACUUCACCAUUAUUUGGGCCUAGAGGAAGGCAUUGGGAAGUAAUAAGUAGAUGAUGGGUUGCUAGAGUGACAGAAGCUUCAACCCUAGUUUAUGCCUUGCUUCGUAAGGGGCUGAUUUGGAUCCAUAUGUCUCAUGCUGUGGUUAGGUUUAUCUUAAUACUUCUUUUGUAGUUGCGGAUGCUUGCAAUAGGGGUUAAUCAUAAGUGGGAUGCUUGUCCAAGAAAGGGCAGUACCCAAGCACCGGUCCACCCACAUAUCAAAUUAUCAAAGUACCGAACGCGGAUCAUAUGAGCGUGAUGAAAACUAGCUUGACGAUAAUUCCCAUGUGUCCUCGGGAGCGCUUUUCUCAUUAUAAGAACUUGUCCAGUCUUGUCCUUUGCUACAAAAAGGAUUGGGCCACCUUGCUGCACUUUAUUUACUUUCAUUGCUUGUUACCCGUUACAAAUUACCUUAUCACAAAACUAUCUGUUACCUACAAUUUCAGUGCUUGCAGAGAAUACCUUACUGAAAACCGCUUGUCAUUUCCUUCUGCUCCUCGCUGGGUUCGACACUCUUACUUAUCGAAAGGACUACGAUAGAUCCCUUAUACUUGUGGGUCAUCAAGACUCUUUUCUGGCGCCGUUGCCGGGGAGUGAAGCGUGAGUGGAACUUGGUAAGGAAACAUUUAUAUAGUGCGCUGAAAUUUACUGUCACUUGUUACUAUGGAAACUAAUCCUUUGAGGGGCUUGUUCAGGGCAUCUUCACCCCAACCAGUAGAGCAAGGAGUUGCUCCUCAACCUACUGAACCUACUGAAAAUGUUUCCUUCGAAAUUCCUUCGGGUAUGAUAGAGAAACUGCUAGCUAAUCCCUUUGCAGGAGAUGGAACAUUGCAUCCCAAUUUACACCUUAUCUAUGUGGAUGAAGUUUGUGGAUUAUUUAAGCUUGCAGGUAUUCCUGAUGAUGUUGUUAAGAGGAAGGUCUUCCCUUUAUCUUUGAAGGGAGAUGCAUUGACAUGGUAUAGGCUAUGUGAUGAUACGGGAUCUUGGAACUAUAAGCGAUUGAAGCUGGAAUUUCACCAGAAGUUUUAUCCUAUGCAUCCUGUUCAUCGUGAUCGUAAUUACAUAUAUAAUUUCUAGCCUCGCGAAGGAUAAAGCAUCGCUCAAGCUUGGGGGAGGCUUAAGUCAAUGUUAUAUUUAUGCCCCAAUCAUGAGCUCUCAAGAGAAAUGAUUAUUCAAAAUUUUUAUGCUCGGCAUUCUCUCAAUGAUCACAUCAUGCUCGAUACUUCCUGUGCUGGUUCUUAUAUGCUGAAGACUAUUGAAUUCAAGUGGGACUUAUUAGAAAUAAUUAAACGCAACUCUGAAGAUUGGGGUUCCGACGAUGGUAAGGAGUCAGGUAUGACACCUAAGUUUGAUUGUGUUAAAUCUUUUAUGGAUACCGAUGCUUUUCAUGGAUUUAGCGCUAAAUAUGGACUUGACUCUGAGAUGGUAGCUUCUUUCUAUGAAUCUUUUGCUACUCAUGUUGAUCUCCCUAAGGACAAGUGGUUUAAAUAUAAUCCUCCCAUUGAAGUAAAAGUAGUUGCACCUGUUACAGUUGAAGAAACGACUAUCACUUAUAAUGAUCCUAUUGUUCCUACCACUUAUCUUGAGAAACCACCUUUCCAUGUUAGGAUAAAGGAUCAUGCUAAAGCUUCAACUGUUGUUCGUAAAAGUAAUACUAGAACAUAUACACCUCCUGAGCAAAUUAAGUUGAACCUAGUAUUGCUAUGGUUAAAGAUCUCUUGGCUAAUAAUAUUGAUGGGCAUGUUAUUUAUUUCUGUGAGGAAGCUGCUAAUAUUGCUAAACCCGAUGCUAAGAUACAUAGACCUGUUGUAGGCAUGCCUGUUAUUUCUGUUAAAAUAGGAGAUCAUUGUUAUCAUGGUUUAUGUGAUAUGGGUGCUAGUGCUAGUGUAAUACCUAUUUCCUUAUACCAAGAAAUUAUGCAUGAUAUUGCACCCGCUGAGUUAGAAGAUAUUGAUGUCACUAUUAAGCUUGCCAAUAGAGAUACUAUUUCACCAGUUGGGAUUGUUAGAGAUGUUGAAGUCUUGUGUGGGAAAGUUAAAUAUCCUGCUGAUUUUCUUGUUCUUGGUUCCCUGGUAACCGACAAGUGUGGGGGAUCAGUUGUAGCCUCUUUCGAUAAGUAAGAGUGUUGAACCCAAUGAGGAGCUGAAGGUAGAACAAAUAUUCCCUCAAGUUCUAUCGACCACCGAUACAACUCUACGCACGCUUGACGUUCGCUUUACCUAGAACAAGUAUGGAACUAGAAGGACUUUGUAGGUGUUGUUGGAUAGGUUUGCAAGAUAAUAAAGAACACUUAAACAAAAAGUAGGGGCUGUUUAGAUAAAUAUGCAAUAAAGUAAAUAUAGCGAGUGUGUAAAAGUGGUGAUAGGAGUUGUGAAAUUGUCCCUAAGCAAUUGACUAUGUUACUAGACCGCUAAUCACUAUUGCAAUUCUAUUUGAGGGAGAGGCAUAAGCUAACAUACUUUCUCUUCUUGGAUCAUACGCACUUAUGAUUGGAACUCUAGCAAGCAUCCGCAACUACUAAAGAUCAUUAAGGUAAAACCCAACCAUAGCAUUAAAGUAUCAAGUCCCCUUUAUCCCAUAUGCAAACAACCUACUUACUCGGGUCUGUGCUUCUGUCACUCACGCCACCCACCAUAAGCAAAUCAUGAACAUAUUGCAAACCCUACAGCGGGAAUCCCUCAUGCUUGCGCGACACGGAGAACACCAUAGGACAGCACCAAUAAUAAAACAUGCAACUCAAACCAAUCAUAGCAAUUCAUCAAUCACCGAUAGGACAACAGAAAUAUACUCAGACAUCAUAGGAUGGCAACACAUCAUUGGAUAAUAAUAUGAAGCAUAAAGCACCAUGUUCAAGUAGAGGGUACAUCGGGUUGCGGGAGAGUGGAUCUUGAAUAUAGAUGGGGGAAGGUGAUGGAGAUGUUGGUGAAGAUGAUGGAGGUGUUGGUGAAGAUCGCGGUGAUGAUGGUGGCCCCCGGCAGUGCUCCGGCGCCACCGGAAGCAAGGGGGAGAGAGCCACCUUCUUCUUAUUCUUCUUCCUUGACCUUCUCCCUAGAUGGGAGAAGGGUUUCCCCUCUGGUCCUUGGCUCCCAUGGAGUGGGAGGGGCGAGAGCCCCUCUGAGAUUGGAUCUAUCUCUCUGGCUCUCUCUGUUUCUGUGUUCUCAGAUUCUGCUCUGGCACCGUUUCUUUUAUGUUCGGAGAUCCGUAACUCCGAUUGGAUUGAAACCUUCGCCUAGAUCUUUUUCCAAAAAAUAGCUUUCUUGCGGCCAGAGAAGGGCAUCGACGGCCUUACGAGGGGCCCACGAGGGUGGGGGGUGCACCCACCUGGAGUGGGCGUGGGCCCCUGUCUCGUGCCACCUCGGGCACCGUCUCCCAUUGAUUUUACUUCCCAAAAAUCACAAAUAUUUCAAAAUAAUUCUCCGUCCGUUUUUAUCCCGUUUGGACUCCGUUUGAUAUGGGGUUUCUGCGAAACAUAAAACAUGCAACAGACAGGAACUGCCACUGGGCACUAGAUCAAUAUGUUAGUCCCAAAAAUAAUAUAAAAAGUUGCCAAAAGCAUAUGAAAGUUGAAUAAUAUUGGCAUGGAACAAUCAAAAAUUAUAGAUAUGACGGAGACGUAUCAUUCCCCACAAGAUAGUUUUGUCCCAUUAUAUUUGGUAGACCCUUCUUGAAUAUUGUCAAUGCUAGGAUUGAUUUCAAAAAGGAUGUUGUUACAAUUGGCUUAGGGGAUAUGUCUCAUGAGUUUAAUUUUUCUAAGUUUCAUAGACAACCCCAUGAUAAAUAACUACCUAGUAAUGAUCAAAUUUUUGGUCUUGCUUCUAUUGCCGUGCCUCCUACUGAUCCGUUAGAACAAUAUUUGCUAGACCAUGAAAAUGAUAUGUUUAUGAAUGAAAGAAGGGAAAUAAAUGAAGUAUUCCUUAAACAGGGUCCUAUUCUGAAACACAACUUGCCUGUUGAAAUCCUAGGGGAUCCUCCUCCACCUAAGGGUGAUCCCAUGUUUGAGCUUAAACCUUUAACUGAUAAUCUUAAAUAUGCUUAUCUUGAUGAAAAGAAGAUAUAUCCUGUUAUUAUUAGUGCUAACCUUUCAGAGCAGGAAGAGGAAAGAUUAUUGAAAACUCUGAAGAAGCACCAUGCUGCUAUUGGAUAUACUCUUGAUGAUCUUAAGGGCAUUAGUCCCACUCUAUGCCAACACAAAAUUAAAUUGGACAAAGGCUCCAAACCAGUUAGAGAUCAUCAACGACGGUUAAAUCCUAAGAUGAAAGAGGUGGUAAGGAAGGAGAUACUAAAGCUCCUUGAGGCAGGUAUAAUUUAUCCCGUUGCUGAUAGUGAUUGGGUAAGUCCUGUCCAUUGCGUCCCUAAGAAGGGAGGUAUUACUGUUGUUCCCAAUGAUAAAGAUGAAUUGAUUCUGCAAAGAAUUAUUAUAGGUUAUAGGAUGGUAAUUGAUUUCCGUAAAUUAAAUAAAGCUACUAAGAAAGAUCAUUACCCUUUACCUUUUAUUAAUCAAAUGCUAGAAAGACUAUCCAAACAUACACAUUUCUGCUUUCUAGAUGGUUAUUCUGGUUUCUCUCAAAUACCUGUGUCAGUGGACGAUCAAUCAAAAACUACUUUACUUGCCCUUCCGGUACUUUUGCUUAUAGACAUAUGCCUUUUGGUUUAUGUAACACACCUGCUACCUUUCAAAGAUGUAUGAUGGCUAUAUUCUCUGACUUUUGUGAAAAGAUUUGUGAGGUAUUCAUGGAUGACUUCUCCAUUUAUGGACCCUCUUUUGAUGAUUGCUUGAUCAACCUUGAUCGAGUUUUGUAGAGAUGUGAAGACACUAGUCUCAUCUUGAAUUGGGAAAAGUGCCACUUUAUGGUUAAUGAAGGCAUUGUCUUGGGGCAUAAAAUUUCUGAAAGAGGUAUUGAAGUUGAUAAAGCUAAAGUUGAUGCUAUUGAAAAGAUGCCAUGUCCCAAGGACAUUAAAGGUAUAAGAAGUUUCCUUGGUCAUGCCGGUUUUUAUAGGAGGUUCAUUAAGGACUUUUCUAAAAGCUCCAGGCCUCUGACUAAUCUAUUACAAAAAGAUAUUCCUUUUGUCUUCGAUGAUGAUUGUGUAGAAGCAUUUGAAAUACUUAAGAAAGCUUUGAUUACUACACCUAUUGUUCAGCCACCUGAUUGGAAUGUACCCUUUGAAAUUAUGUGUGAUGCUAGCGAUUAUGCUGUAGGUGUUGUUCUAGGGCAAAGAGUUGAUAAGAAAUUAAAUGUUAUCCAGUAUGCUAGUAAAACUCUUGACACUGCCUAGAGAAAUUAUGCUACUACUGAAAAAGAGUUCUUAGCAGUUGUGUUUGCAUGUGAUAAGUUCAAACCUUAUAUUGUUGAUUCUAAAGUAACUAUUCACACUGAUCAUGCUGCUAUUAAAUAUCUUAUGGAAAAGAAAGAUGCUAAGCCUAGACUUAUUAGAUGGGUUCUCUUGGUCCAAGAAUUUGAUUUGCAUAUUAUUGAUAAAAAGGGAGCUGAGAACCCCGUUGCAGACAACUUGUCUAGGUUAGAGAAUGUUCUUGAUGACCCACUACCUAUUGAUGAUAGCUUUCCUGAUGAACAAUUAGCAGUCAUUAAUGCUUCUCGUACUGCCCCCUGGUAUGCUAAUUAUGCUAAUUACAUUGUUGCUAAAUUUAUACCACCUAGUUUCACAUACCAGCAAAAGAAAAGGUUCUUUUAUGAUUUAAGACAUUACUUCUGGGAUGACCCACACCUUUAUAAAUAAGGAGUAGAUGGUGUUAUUAGACGUUGUGUACCUGAGCAUGAACAUGAACAGAUCCUACGCAAGUGUCACUCCGAACCAUAUGGAGGACACCACGCUAGAGAUAGAACUGCACAUAAGGUAUUGCAAUCCGGUUUUUAUUGGCCUACUCUCUUCAAAGAUGCCCAUAAGUUUGUCUUGUCUUGUGAUGAAUGCCAAAGAAUUGGUAAUAUUAGUAGAUGUCAAGAAAUGCCUAUGAACUAUUCUCUUGUUAUUGAACCAUUUGAUGUUUGGGGCUUUGAUUAUAUGGGACCUUUUCCUGCCUCUAAUGGAUAUACACAUAUUCUAGUUGCUGUUGAUUACGUUACUAAGUGGGUAGAAGCUAUUCCAACUAGUAGUGCCGAUCAUAACACCUCUAUUAAGAUGCUUAAAGAAGUUAUUUUUCUGAGGUUUGGAGUCCCUAAAUAUUAAUUGACUGAUGAUGGUUCACAUUUUAUUCAUGGUGCUUUUCGUAAAAUGCUUGCUAAGUAUGAUGUUAAUCAUAGAAUUGCAUCUCCUUAUCACCCAUAGUCUAGUGGUCAAGUAGAAUUGAGCAAUAGAGAGCUCAAAUUAAUUUUGCAAAAGACUGCUAAUAGAUCUAGAAAGAAUUGGUCCAAGAAACUUGAUGAUGCAUUAUGGGCUAUAGAACUGCAUAUAAAAAUCCUAUUGGUAUGUCUCCGUAUAAGAUGGUUUAUGGAAAAGCAUGUCACUUACCUCUCGAACUUGAGCAUAAGGCAUAUUGGGCCAUUAAAGAGCUCAACUAUGAUUUCAAACUUGCCGGUGAGAAGAGGUUAUUUGACAUUAGCUCACUUGAUGAAUGGAGAACCCAAGCCUAUGAGAAUGCCAAGUUGUUCAAAGAAAAGGUUAAAAGAUGGCAUGACAAAAGGAUACAAAAGCGUGAGUUUAACGUAGGUGAUUAUGUGUUGCUAUUCAACUCUCAUUUAAGAUUUUUUGCAGGAUAACUUCUCUCUAAAUGGGAAGGUCCUUACGUUAUCGAGGAAGUCUAUCGUUCCGGUGCCAUAAAAAUCAACAACUUCAAAGGCACAAGUCUGAGGGUGGUGAACGGUCAAAGAAUCAAACAUUAUAUCUCAGGUAAUCCUAUAAAUGUUGAAUCUAAUAUUAUUGAAAUCGUAAACCCGGAGGAAUACAUAAGGGACACUUUCCAGAAUGUUUCAGACUCCGAAAAGGAAUAGGUAUGUGGUACGGUAAGUAAACCGACUCCAAAACAAUUCUAAUAGCAAUUUUUCUCCGUUUUGGAAUAUUUAAGAAUUUAGGAAAAUAAAAAGUAGUCCGGGAAGGACACGAGGCCUCCACGAGGGUGGAGGACGCGCCCACCCUUACUAGGCGCGCUCCCUGCCUCGUGGGCACCUCGUGUGCUCUUCGGACUCCGUUUUCUUGCAUGAUACAUCUUUUGGUCGGUAAAAAUUCAUUAUAUAAUCUCCUGAAGGUUUUGACCACCGUAUCAUGCAAAUAUGCUCUGUUUUCGUUUCGAGCUGUUUUUUGACAGAUUUAGAGCAUCAUGACAUCACCCUAUUCCAACAAUGAAGACAAGGAUGCUUGGCUAUUGAAGAUAGAGCUGAAAAGAGAAGAACCGGAGGAGAUCAACAAGGCUGAAGGGAUCAACAAGGCCGUGGAGGAUCAAGCUCCGGCGGCAGAAGCAGGAAACAUCCCUCAACCUCUACCUAACCUCUUUACUCCAACUAAGAUUGAAGCUUUCAAGAUGAUUGAGUUAGCUCGCAUACAAAACAAGUAUCUCACACAGGAAAAUAUUUUGUUGAAGGAUCAUAUCAUCGGACUCAAGGGCAUUAUCCGCAAGUUGGAGGAGCUUUUACGCUCGAUGUGUGAUUAUCCACCAUCAUCAUCACCACCUUCAUCACCUCCGAGGACAUAAUCACAUGGGUAUGGGCACUCCCCUUGGCAACUGCCAAGCUUGGGGGAGGUGCCCCGGUAUCGUAUCACCAUCACACUCCUAUCUUUACCGUUUUACUUAGUUCGAUCCUUUGGUAAUAUCUUGAUCUAGUAGAAUAAAGUUUUGGUAUGAAUUAGUUUUUAGUUUUGCUUUGUGAUCCCUCUAUGUAAUCGAGUCCGUGAGCUAUAUAAUAAAGAUUAGUGUUGAGUCAAGGGCUUUGCUAUCUUGCUAUGAUCUUAAGAAAAUUGAAAAAAUAAAAAGAAAUAAAAGAGUUCAUAUUGAUCUUAUGGAUAGUAAUGACUUCACACAUAAAAAAUAUGAUACAUAAAAGUUGUUGAGAGUUGACAAACAUGGUUUUGGUCAUCGUUGCAAUUAAUAGGAAGUAAUAAAGAAAGAGAGGUUCUCACAUAUAAAUAUACUAUCUUGGACAUCUUUUAUGACUAUGAGCACUCAUUAAAGUAUGUCAUGCUAAAGAGUUGAUGUUGGACAAGGAAGACAACAUAAUGGGCUAUGUUUUCUCACAUCUUAGUUGAAGUAUAUUAUCAUGGAUCGUCCAACAUGUUGAUCUUGCCUUUCCCCCUCAUGCUAGCCAAAUUCCUUGCACCGAGUAGAGAUACUACUUGUGCUUCCAAAUAUCCUUAAACCCAGUUUUGCCAUGAGAGUCCACCAUACCUACUUAUGGACUGAGUAAGAUCCUUCAAGUAAGUUGUCAUGUUGCAAGCAAUAAAAAUUGCUCUCUGAAUAUGUAUGACUUAUUAGUGUGGAGAAAAUAAGCUUUAUACGAUCAUGUGAUACGGAAGUAAUAAAAGCGAUGGACUGCAUAAUAAAGGUUCAUAUCACAAGUGGCAAUAUAAAGUGACGUUCUUUUGCAUUAAGAUUUCGUGCAUCCAACCAUAAAAGCACUUGACAACCUCUGCUUCCCUCUGCGAAGGGCCUAUCUUUUACUUUAUGUCUUUACAUUAUGCAAGAGUCAAGGUGAUGUUCACCUUUCCCUUUUUCAUUUUAUCCUUUGGCAAGCACCUCGUGUUGGAAAGAUCCUGAUAUAUAUAUCCAAUUGGAUGUAAGUUAGCAUGAACUAUUAUUGUUGACAUCACCCAAAGGUGAAUACAUUGGGAGGCAACAUUAUAAGCCCCUAUCUUUCUCUGUGUCCGAUUGAAACUUCAUAACCAUAAGUAUUGCUUGAGUGUUAGCAAUUGUAGAAGACUAUAUGAUAGUUGAGUAUGUGGACUUGCUGAAAAGCUCUAUUCUUGACUCUUUCCGAUGUUAUGAUAAAUUGCAGUUGCUUCAGUGACUGAGAUUAUCAUUUGUUAGUUCCCAAUGAAGUUUAUGAUUCAUACUUGACAUUGUGAAUAGAUUGUUACUUGAGCAUAAGAAAUCAUAUGACAAAAUCUAUAUAGGUUGCUAUUAUAAGAAUGAUCAUGAUGCCCUCAUGUCUGUAUUUUAUUUUUUAUCGACACCUCUAUCUCUAAACAUGUGGACAUAUUUUUUGAUAUCGGCUUCCGCUUGAGGACAAGCAAGGUCUAAGCUUGGGGGAGUUGAUACGUCCAUUUUGCAUCAUGCUUUUAUAUCGAUAUUUAUUGCAUUAUGGGCUGAUAUUACACGUUAUGUCACAAUACUUAUGGCUAUUCUCUCUUAUUUUACAAGGUUUAUCAUGAAGAGGGAGAAUGCCGGCAGCUGGGAUUUUGGGCUGGAAAAGGAGCAAAUAUUGGAAACCUAUCCUGCACAACUCCAAAAGUCCUAAAACUCCACAAAAGUCAUUUUUGGAAUUAAUAAGAAUUAUUGAGCGAAAGAAGUACCAGAGGGGGCCCACACCCUGGCCACGAGGGUGGGGGGCGCACCCACCCCUACUGGGUGUGCCCCCUGCCUUGUGGGCCCCCUGGUGGCCCUCCGGUGCCCAUCUUCUGCUAUAUGAAGGCUUUUACCCUAGAAUAAUCAUAAGCAAGCUUAUGGGAUGAAACUCCACCGCCACGAGGCGGAACCUUGGCGGAACCAGUCUAGGGCUCCAGCGGAGCUGUUCUGCCGGGGAAACUUCCCUCCGGGAGGGGCAAAUCAUCAUCACCAACGAUCCUCUCAUCGGAAGGGGGUCAGUCUCCAUCAACAUCUUCACCAGCACCAUCUCCUCUCAAACCCUAGUUCAUCUCUUGUAUCCAAUCUUGUAUCAAAACCACAAAUUGGUACCUGUGGGUUGCUAGUAGUGUUGAUUACUCCUUGUAGUUGAUGCUAAUUGGUUUAUUUGGUGGAAGAUCUUAUGUUCAGAUCCUUAAUGCAUAUUAAUACUCCUCUGAUCAUGAACAUGAAUAUUCUUUGUGAGUAGUUACGUUUGUUCCUGAGGACAUGGGUGAAGUCUUGCUAUUAGUAGUCAUGUGAAUUUGGUAUUCGUUCGAUAUUUUGAUGAGAUGUAUGUUGUCUCUCCUCUAGUGGUGUUAUGUGAACGUCGACUACAUGACACUUCACCAUUAUUUGGGCCUAGAGGAAGGCAUUGGGAAGUAAUAAGUAGAUUAUGGGUUGCUAGAGUGACAGAAGUUUAAACCCUAGUUUAUGCAUUGCUUCGUAAGGGGCUGAUUUGAUCCAUAUGUCUCAUGCUGUGGUUAGGUUUACCUUAAUACUUCUUUUGUAGUUGCGGAUGCUUGCAAUAGGGGUUAAUCAUAAGUGGAAUGCUUGUCCAGGAAAGGGCAGUACCCAAGCACUGGUCCACCCACAUAUCAAAUUAUCAAAGUACCGAACGCGAAUCAUAUGAGCGUGAUGAAAACUAGCUUGACGAUAAUUCCGAUGUGUCCUUAGGAGCGCUUUUCUCAUUAUAAGAACUUGUCCAGGCUUGUCCUUUUCUACAAAAAGGAUUGGGCCACCUUGCUGUACUUUAUUUACUUUCAUUGCUUGUUACCCGUUACAAAUUACCUUAUCACAAAACUAUCUGUUACCUACAAUUUCAGUGCUUGCAGAGAAUACCUUACUGAAAACAGCUUGUCAUUUCCUUCUGCUCCUCGUUGGGUUCGACACUCUUACUUAUGGAAAGGACCACGAUAGAUCCCCUAUACUUGUGGGUCAUCAGAACCUCUAGUCGAUCUCCCAAAAGGACUUAACUCCUCAAAAAUAUACCUUUUGAGGAGUUAAGUCACACAUAGCCGAACCCUCAUCUGGUUUAGUUGCUUAAAUGUUUUAGGAGGGGCUUCGGUCAACUCUAAAAUUUGAGCAGUUGAAGCAGCUUCUAAAGAAAAAAAAUUGCUACCCUGACGGCCUCGCUCUCCCGCUUGCCCGCAUCCACACCGGUGUUGCCUCCGGCAUCCAUCCGUAUGUUCCGCCAACACCUCAUAGACCCCGCCCCCUCGCCCACUUUGACUCGCUCAUCGGUCUUUGCCAUUACCGAAGUGGACCCAUAUCUUCGUUGCCUUGCUCUCGUGGACGAAAAGGCCCACCAUCGAGCCUGGGUUCGUCUUAAGCAGAGCUGGCAGAUGAAUGAGAUGCCUUAGAGCACCCGUUGAGGAACUAGGUGGUGCCAGAAUCGCGGCCUGAUACGUCUCCAUUGUAUCUACUUUUCCAAACUCUUUUGCCCUUGUUUUGGACUCUAAUUUGCAUGAUUUGAAACAAACUAACCCGAACUGAUGUUGUUUUCAGCAGAAUUGACACGGUGUUAUUUUUGUGCAGAAAUAAAAGUUCUCAGAAUGACCUGAAACUUCACGGAGACACUUUUUGGAAUUAAUAAAAAAUAUUGGCGAAAGAAUCAACCGAAGGUGGGGGCGCUCCCUCCUGCCUCGUGGCCCUUGGACCUCCACCAACCUCAACUACAACUCCAUAUAUUCACGUUCAGGGAGAAAAAAAAUCAGAGAGAAGGAUUCAUCAUGUUUUACGAUAUGGAGUCGCCGCCAUGCCCUGUUCUUCCUCGGGAGGGUUGGUCUGGAGUCCGUUCGGGGCUCCGGAGAGGGGAAUCCGUCGCCAUCGUCAUCAUCAACCAUCCUCCAUCACCAAUUUCAUGAUGCUCACCGCCGUGCGUGAGUAAUCCCAUCGUAGGCUUGCUGGACGGUAAUGGGUUGGAUGAUAUUUACCAUGUAACCGAGUUAGUUUUGUUAGGGUUUGAUCCCUAGUAUCCAUUGUGUUCUAAGAUUGAUGUUGUUAUGACUUUGCCAUGCUUAAUGCUUGUCACUAGGGCCCGAGUGCAUGAUUUCAGAUCUGAACCUAUUAUGUUUUCAUGAAUAUAUGAGUGUUCUUGAUCCUAUCUUGCAAGUUAUAGUCACCUACUACGUGUUAUGAUCCGGCAACCCCUGAGUGACAAUAGUCGGGACACUUCACGGUGAUGAUCGUAGUUUGAGGAGUUCAUGUAUUCACUAAGUGCUAAUGCUUUGGUCCGGUUCUCUAUUAAAAGGAGGCCUUAAUAUCCCUUAGUUUCCAUUAGGACCCCGCUGCCACGGGAGGGUAGGACAAAAGAUGUCAUGCAAGUUCUUUUCCAUAAGCACAUAUGACUAUAUUCCGAAUACAUGCCUACACUAUAUUGAUGAACUGGAGCUAGUUAUGUGUCACCCUAUGUUAUAACUGUUGCAUGAUGAAUGCCAUCCGACAUAAUUAUCCAUCAUUGAUCCAUUGCCUACGAGCUCGUUUCGUAUUGAUCUUUGCUAAGUUACUUCAAUGUUGCCACUAUUAGGAUUGCUACAAAACUGCUACAGUUACUUUUGCCACCGUUACCGUUACUUCCAUACUACUUUGCUACUAAAUACUUUGCUGCAGAUAUUAAGUCUUUCAGGUGUGGUUGAAUUGACAACUCAGCUACUAAUACUUGAGAAUAUCCUUUGGCUCCCCUUGUGUUGAAUCAAUAAAUUUGGGUUGAAUACUCUACCCUCGAAAACUGUUGCGAUCCCAUAUACUUGUGGGUUAUCAAGACCUUUUUUUGGCACCGUUGCCAGGGAGCAUAGCUCUAUUAUCUGAGUCACUUGGGAUUUAUAUCUGUUGAUCACUAUGAGGAAUCUAAAAGACAACAAAACCAAUAUCUAUCCCUCAACUACGAGGGAAGGUAAGGAACUGCCAUCUAGCUCUGCACUUGAUUCACCUUCUAUUUUGAGCAAACUUGCGACACCUACACCUGCUACGGAUUCUGAUAUGUCACUUGUUAUUGAUGAUGCCACUUUUGCUAUGCAUGAUGCUUAUGAUGAUACUACUUCUCUGCUUGAUAAUAAUGUGCCACUCGGUGAACUUCUUAAUGAACAACUUGCUAGGGUUAGAGAGAAUGAAAUUACUGAAACUGAUGAUAUUAAUGAAAGUGAUGAUGAAGAUUCUCCCCCUAGAUAUGAAUUGCCUGUUGUACCUGAGGGUUAUAUUAUGGAUGAAGAAACUGCUAGAGACUUUUUUUGCUCGCAAUGAUAGAUAUGAUCUUAAGAAAAUGUUAGUUAAGAUGAAAGAAAAGUCUUUGAAUGCUAGAAUGCAAUAUGAUCCCGCGUUUGCUACUUCACCCAUCUGUGUUACUGAUAAGGAUUAUGAAUUCUUUGUCGAUCCUAAGUUAAUUACUUUUGUUGAAUUUGAUCCUUUCUAUGGUUAUGAAUCUGAAACUGUUGUGGCACAUCUUACUAAAUUGAAUGAUAUAGCCACCCUAUUUACUCAUGAGGAAAAAAUUCAUUAUUACUAUAUUGUUAAGUGGUUUCCUUUCUCAUUAAAGGGUGAUGCUAAAAUAUGGUUUAAUUCUCUUGCUCCUGGUUGUGUGCGUAGUCCCCAGGAUAUGAUUUAUUACAUCUCUGCAAAAUAUUUUACCACUCAUAAGAAACAAGCUGCCUUGUAGGAAAUAUUUAAUUUUGUGCAAAUAGAAGAAGAGAGUCUCCCACAAGCUUGGGGGAGGCUUAUCCGAUUACUUAAUGCUUUGCCUGAUCAUCCUCUCAGGAAAAAUGAAAUACUUGAUAUCUUUUACAAUGGACUAACUGAUGCUUCCAGAGACCACCUGGAUAGUUGUGCUGCUUGUGUUUUCAGGGAAAGAACUGUUGAGCAAGCUGAAUUGCUAUUGAAUAAUAUAUUGAGUAAUGAUAAUGAUUGGACACUUCCUGAACCAACUCCUAAGCCAACUCCGAAGAAAAGGGGUAUUCUAUUUCUUAGUCCUGAAGAUAUGCAAGAGGCAAAGAAAUCUAUGAAAGAAAAAGGUAUUAAAGCUGAAGAUGUUAAGGAUUACCGCCUAUUGAAGAAAUACAUGGUCUUGAUAAUCCGACACAGGUAGUAAAGGUAAAUUCUCUAUAGAUUUGAUGAAGGUGAUAUUCCUCAUAAUAAGUCUACUAGUCAAUGCUUGGAUGAGUUUGAUUAUUUUAUUGUUAAACAAGAAAACUUCAAUGCUUAUGUUGGUAGACAAUUGAAACGUAAUGCUUAUAUGGUUGAACACUUGAGUGAUUACAUGUCUAGAGUUAAAAGUGAUCUUAAGCUUAUUAGCAAAGAUGCUUCCAUGGUUACCACUCAAGUAGAACAAGUACUUAAGGCACAAGAUGAUUUGCUCAAUGAGUUGAAUAAUAAUAAUAAUGAUAAUGUUGUUAGAGUUAUGACUAGAGGUGGUAAAAUGACCCAGGAACCUUUGUAUCCUGAGGCCCAUCCUAAGAGAAUUGAGCAAGACUCAAAGAAUUAAUACUGAUACACCUAGUCCUUCUAAUAAAAAUAAAAAGAAUAAUGAUUGGACUUUGCAUGCUUCUAGUGAACCUGUUAUUGACACACCUACGAAUCCCAAUGAUAUUUCUAUUUCUGGUGCUGAAACACAAUCUGGUGAUGAACAUGAACCUAGUAAUAAUAAUGAUGUAGAGAUUGAACCUGCUGUUGAUCUUGAUAAACCACAAUCAAAGAAUCAACAUUAUGAUACGAGAGACUUCGUUGCUAGGAAGCACGGUAAAGAAAGAGAACCAUGGGUUCAUAAACCCAUGCCUUUUCCUCCUAAGCCAUCCAAGAAAAAGGAUGAUGAGGAUUUUGAGCGCUUUGCUAAAAUGAUUAGACCUAUCUUUUUGCGUAUGCGUCUGACUGAUAUGCUUAAAAUGCAUCCCUAUGCUAAGUAUAUGAAAGAUAUUAUUACAAAUAAAAAAAGAUACCGGAAGCUAAAUUUCCACCAUGCUUGCCAAUUAUACAUUUAAGGGUGGAAUACCAAAGAAACUUGGAGAUCCCGGAGUACCAACUAUACCAUGCUCCAUUAAAAGGAACCAUGUUAAAACUGCUUUAUGUGAUCUUGGAGCCGGUGUUAGUGUUAUGCCUUUCUCUUUAUAUCAUAGACUUGAUUUAAAUAAGUUGACACCUACUGAAAUCUCUUUGUAAAUGGCUGAUAAAUCAAUUGCUAUACCCAUCGGUAUUUGUGACGAUGAGCCUGUUGUGGUUGCAAACAUUACUAUUUUAACGAACUUUGUUAUUCUUGAUAUUCCAGAGGACGACAGUAUGUCGAUCAUCCUUGAUAGACCCUUUUUGAAUACUGCAGGGGCUGUUAUUGAUUGCAACAAAGGCGAUGUCACUUUUCAUGUUAAUGGUAAUGAGCAUACAGUACACUUUUCAAAGAAACAACCUCAAGUUCAUAGUAUCAAUUCUAUUGGAAAAAUCUCAACUAUUACUAUUGGAGGUUUUGAAUUCCCUCUUCCUACUGUCAAAAAGAAAUAUGAUAUUCUUAUUGUUGGGGACAUGCAUAUCACCGUUGAGGUAACCUAGUGUUAUUGAAAAAUUCUCCGGUUUCAUGUUAUUCGGAAGAGGUUUGUUAACAAGACUUGAUCAACCUUGUUAGUGGAUUCCUUGUGAUGAGCAUGAGAUGGAUGAAUUUAGAAGGCACAACUUUUUGUACCCACUUUUUACUUUCUGUUAUUUAGAAUAAAUAAAGAAAAAAAGUAUUUUCUGUAUGUUUUCUAAAUUAUCUUUGCAACAAAAAAUACCCCGAAAAUAAAAGUUCCCCAAAUGCCCUGAAAAUUUACUAUGAUUUUUUAUAGAAUAUUUGAGAAUUUUUGGCACUGAGAACACACCAGGGGGAUGCACCAGUAAGCCACGAGGGUGGAGGGCGCGCCCUACCCCCUGGGCGCGCCCCCUGCCUCGUGUGCCCCAUGUGGCCCCCUCCACUUAUUCCAGUACCCAUCCACUUCGUCUUCCUCCAGAAAAAAAUCAUCCCGUAGCUCAAACUCAUGUUCUUGCUCUUUUUGCUGCCAUUUUUGGUCUCCUUGCUCAAAGCUCCUUUCACAAAACUCCUUUAGGGGAUUGUUCUUUGGUAUGUGACUCCUCCAAUGGUCCAAUUGGUUUUUGUGUCUGGCACUUUAUUUAUUGCAAAUGUUUGCUGCUGAGGUGACCCUGUUCUUGAGCUUGUAUGUCAAAUUUAUAUGGUCAAAAGUAGUUUUAAUGCAUGAUAGCCUCAAGCACUUGUGGGAGUAGUUGCUAUCAAUCUUGUUGAGUUUGGUUCACUUUUAUUUUGAGUCACUAAAAAUUUCAGAGGAAGAAAAUGUUGAGGAGAUUGUUGAGAGGCUCCUCGAGCUGGGGUGCGAAGGAAAAGGAGAAUGAAGAGAAUGAAAAGCCCAAGUACAACCUUCCUAGCACCACAGAGGUCCAACCAUGUGAAUAGCCAUGUGAUGCAUUCUUAAAGGCCGCUGGAAUUUAUUAAGACUUCUAUUACUUGGCUGAGAAUGUAGGCAUCACCGACUGUAUCCACGACAAGUGUUAGGGAUAUGACUAUUUGUGUAAGCCGCCUAGGAGGGGCCGGGUUACGCAAAGAGUACACAUCAGAGGAAGCCCAAGGCCAAGCAUGAAGAUGGCGGUUCAAUAAAGAGCUUAAGGCCCACGGGCGGCUUAAGCCCAUUGUAGUAAACUGCCAUGAUCGCAUGACUUGUAAUGUAAGGUAGAUUUAACUGGUCACCGAGCCGGACUCUGUUUAUAAGCCGGCCGGGACUCUGUAAGCCGCAGGUGUCAACCCGUGUAUAUAAGGGGACGACCUGCUGGCGACUUAGGGCAAGAAACAACUCAUCGAGAGCCGGGCAUAGCGUAUCUCGCUCCCUGGUCAUCGAAACAUCAAUACCAACCCAACUAGACGUAGGCCUUACCUUCACCGUAAGGGGCCGAACUAGUAUAGACUCUCUCGUGUCCCUUGUCCCGAUUUAACCCCUUCAAGCUUCCUAGUUGCGAUGGCUCCACAACUAAGUCCUUUCACGAGGACAUUCGACGUGACUAUUCCACGACAGUUGGCGCCCACCAUGGGGCCAGCACACGGUGGAUUUGAGUUCUUGAAGGGCAACUUCAAAGGGCUCAAGGGGUACGUAGUGGGCCGGAUGACCAAGAGUCGUCGCGGCAAGAUCUACAUCGACGACGAAGGCUGGGGCCCCAACGCCGGCUCAAUUGAGUACGGGUACCAGGUCCCCUUCGGCGGAAUCCACGUCUUCAUCGGCCGGAUCGGUGAGCCGGGCCCUGAGCUAGAUAACUGCACCGACAUCGUCGAGACGGCUCAGCGUGCGAGGAAGACCCGGACUCAGCCGGUCAUGAGGCGUGCGUUCGUGGGCUGCGUCCAUGGAGAGGAACUUUCUGGAUCUGAAGAUGGGGGUGAGCCGGCCGUCCUCUCAGACGGUGACUCGUCCGCCGGCUCAACAGAUUCGUUGUACCAGGUACAAGACGGCGCGCUCGGGGGCUGUUCCGAUGACAUCAGUAUUCCGGACCCCGAUGAGCCGCCAAGAUGGGCCGGAAUCUUCAUGGCUGGGACUCAGCCCGGUUCAAACUCUACGGCAGCCGCAGCGAUCACAUCCGGGUCAGGAGCAGCCGGGGCAAGUGGCCCCGUGCGCCCACCGGCUCAGGUGCUGAUGGAUCUCAUGGACAAGCUUACGGCCCUGUUAACCGCUACGGUUAUUCCUGCUGACAAGGAUGAGCACGACGCAACAGUAGCUCAGGUGCGUGAGGAGAUAGCUCAGGCCAAGGAGGCCUUGGCAGCUGAGGAUACAAGACUAGCUGCAGAACGGGCGGCUCUCGACGCCCGAGCACAACGCUUGCAGUCAGAAGCUUACCAGCUCACGAUGAGCUUAAACGCAUCCAAUGAGGUAAUGAGGAGGAGACAUCAGAAAACGCAGUCCCGUCUACCUCCGAAUUACGACCCCCGGCUUCUCUUUGCUACACCUGGAGCCGGCCCCAGUAACCCGCCGGAGGAUGAUCGGCUUAUGACAGCCGGAACAGGAGGACCGACUCAGCCUAGGGAUAUGGCGCCGCCUCACGUGAGCCUGCCGCCACCGCAUUAUGUGCCGAUUCCACCGGGUCACUUUUCCAACCCCAUGGAGAACUUGAUCGCAGCCUCAGCACGUUUAGCGGCUCUUCCUAUGGAAGGAGAUGACCCGACGGCGGUGGAGACCCGGAGGGUCAGGGAGCUCCUCCAGACAGCCCUGGCUCAGCAGGAGAAUUAUUCUUACAGCCGGGACAGGAUCCAUUCGACUCCCCCGCCUUGGGUAGCACCGCCUCGCCAGAACCGGAGCCCGAGUUACAGCAGACGCAUGGAGUCGAAAGCUUUGUCAAGCAAUGCCCAACGGCGUAACCAACCUGGGGGCUAUAACCCGGCGUAGGACCAAGUACGUCAGGAGAAUGAUCACCCGGAGUAUCCAAUGACAUCGGUUGAGGCGGGAGUAGCCACUAGAACCAGCGGUGUCCCGUGCCUAGUGCCGGCUCUGCGUGACGUACGUCUGCCCAAGGACUUCAAGGGACCUCGCAAGGUACCAAAUUACAUGGCCGAUUUACAGCCCGCGGCAUGGAUCGGGAGUUAUGAGAUGGCCAUGGAGUUGCUGGAAGUCAAUGACGCGGCAAUGGCUAAGUAUUUCACCAUGAUGUUGGAUGGAACGGCCCGGUCUUGGCUAAAGGGCUUACCACCCAAUUCCAUUGGUUCAUGGGGCGAGUUAAAGGCCCGGUUCAUCCAGAACUUCAAGGACACCUGUAAACAAUCUAUGUCGAUUGUGGACUUGACGGAUUGCAAGCAGGAGGAAGGAGAAUCCACCACCCAUUGGGUACGCCGGGUCAAAGAGAUAAUUCAUUCCUCUGAUAAGAUGGAUGCCGGCUCUGCAGUUCUUAUGCUGGAGAAAAAUUUCCGUUUUGAGCCGCUGAGGAUGAAACUGGGGCGCCUUAAGCGUGACCUCACAGAUAUGGGUACGCUGAUGGCAGCUUUAGUCAAAUACGCCGAUUCUGAUAGUACCAAGGAUCCCGCGCCUGACGAUGAGAAGACAUGGAAGGGAAAAAGGAACGACAAUGGAAAGGGUCAGCAGCAUAACCCGGGGAAUCAAGGCGGCAAUAAGCGUAAGGCGGAUGGUAACCCGGAGUUUGUGGCCAAUGCCAACGUACAAGGUAACAAUCAGAGACGUAAGGGUAAGCCGCCACGAUCCGGUGGGUCAGGCCCAUCUCUUCAGCUACUCAAUGAGCCCUGCCCAAGACACGGCACCAGGGAGUGGCCUGCCACACAUCUGUGGAAGGAUUGCGCCAUCAUGAAAGCAUUUAAAAAUUCCAACACCUUCGACGGUGGUCAAGGAUCUGGUGGCGGCUCAAGGGCUGGCGGCUUUCAUGGCCCGGGCGGUGGUUCAAAUUCCGGUUUUCAGGGGCAUCCGGGUGGCAACAGUCAGCAGCAGUCUGGUCAAGGCGGACAGCAGCAGCAACAGUCGGGUUAUCAAAGCCAUCUGAAGUAGUUGAGUGGUGGACAGUAUCAUGUGUUUACCACUAGCUCGUGCAAACGUGACCAGAAGGUUCAUAAGAGGGCUGUGAAUUCCGUUGAGCCGGCAAUCCCUUGUUAUUUAAGGUGGUCAGAGCAGCCCAUCAUAUGGAGCAGGGAGGAUCAUCCUCCGUGGGUCGAUAACCCGGGUCAGUUGGCUUUGGUAGUGGCACCUCAAGUUGGUGGAUAUAAGUUCACCAAGGUGCUCAUAGAUGGGGGUAGUAGCAUCAACAUCCUUUACUACGAGACCUUUCAGCGCAUGGGGUUGACUGAUAAACAUCUGAGAACAUCCAACACUGUUUUCCAUGGAGUUGUCCCUGGUAAAUCGGCUUACCCAGUUGGCAGGAUUGAACUGGAGGUGGCCUUUGGAGACGAGCAUGACUCCCGAGCUGAGAAGUUGAUGUUUGAAGUGGUCAAAAUCAGGAGCCCAUACCACGCUCUGUUUGGACGGCCGGCUUACGCUAAGUUUAUGGCCCGGCCGUGUUACGUUUAUCUAUAGCUCAAGAUGCCGGGUUACAAGGGCACCAUCACUGUACAUGGCAGUCGUAAGGUGGCAUUGGAGUGUGAAGAAGGUGACGCGGCUUAUGCUGAGUCGGCCUGCGCAGCAGAGGAGCUCAAAUUUUAUCAAGAUAAUGUUGACCCGGCGGAUAUGACAUCCCUGAAGAAGCCAACUAUAGAGCAUGACCCGGCGCUGAAGUUUAAGUCGGCGGCUGAGACGAAGCUUGUUGACUUUACCCCGGGUGAUACUUCUAAACAGUUCAGCAUCAGCAGCAACUUGGAUCCCAAAUAGGAAAGCGCGCUCAUCGAGUUCAUCCAUGAGAACCGGGACAUCUUUGCAUGGAAACCUUCUGACAUGUCGGGUGUACCGAGGGAACUCGCUGAGCACACUCUCAAUAUUGAUCCAAAGUAUAAGCCGGUCAGGCAGUUUCUUCGCCGUUUUAACGAAGAGCGACGAAAAGCUAUUGGAGAAGAAGUCGCCCGGCUCUUAGCGGCCGGGUUUAUCAUUGAAGUUUUUCACCGGAAUGGUUGGCUAACCCGGUGCUCGUCCUCAAGAAGAAUGACACCUGGCGGAUGUGUGUGGACUACACAGACUUAAACAAGGCUUGUCCGGCUGACCCUUUUGCUCUCCCCCGUAUUGAUCAAAUCAUUGAUGCUACGGCGGGUUGUGAGCGUUUGAGCUUUUUGGACGCUUACUCCGGUUAUCAUCAGAUUAAGAUGGCAGUUAAGGACCAGGAGAAGAUGACUUUCAUCACUCCAUUUGGAGCCUUCUGUUAUGUGUCUAUGCCAUUUGGGCUCAAGAGUGCCCAGGCGACUUAUCAGCGGUGUGUGCAGAACUGUUUGCACGACCAAAUUGGGCGUAAUGUCCAUGCUUAUGUGGAUGACAUUGUGGUGAAGUCCAGAGAGAAGGAGACAUUGAUAUCUGACUUAAAGGAGACCUUUGAUAAUCUCCGGGUCUACAAGAUGAUGCUUAACCCGGCCAAAUGCGUGUUUGGUGUCCCUGCAGGCAAGCUUUUGGGCUUUCUAGUGUCCAACUGAGGCAUCGAAGCUAACCCGGAGAAGAUCAAGGCGAUUACCUCUCUGUCUAAACCGGCGUGCAUCAAUGAUGUUCAGCGACUGGCGGGUCGCGUCGCCGCCUUAGGUCGGUUCAUAAGUCGGCUCGGUGAGAAAGCCCUCCCAUUGUAUCAGAUGAUGAAGAAAACUGACACUUUUGUCUGGAGUGAGGCCGCUGAUGCUGCUUUUGAAGACUUAAAGAGGCAAUUGUCUGAGCCGCCGGUUCUUGCAGCUCCAAUUGAAAAAGAGCCUUUGCUGUUGUAUGUGGCUGCCAAUUCACGAGCCGUCAGCGUUGCCAUCAUGGUGGAGCGUAAGGAAGCCGGUAAGGAGCAUCCGGUUCAACGGCCGGUUUACUACAUCAGUGAGGUGCUCAUUGAAUCCAAGCAGAGGUACCCACAUUGGCAAAAGCUUGUCUAUGGGGUGUUCAUGGCAAACCGGAAGUUGAAGCAGUAUUUUCAAAGUCAUCCUAUAACUAUGGUAAGUUCUGCCCCUUUGGGAGACAUCAUUCAGAACAGGGAGGCCACAGGACGAGUCGCCAAGUGGGCUAUCGAGCUUGGGCCUCAUGGCUUGAAAUACAUGCCUCAGACAGCUAUUAAGUCUCAGGCCUUGGUGGACUUCAUCAACGAUUGGACAGAACUGCAGGCACCUGAGGAGAAGCCGGAUAACACAUACUGGAGUAUUCACUUUGACGGGUCUAGGCAGCUAGAAGGCUCGGGGGCUGGAGUGGUGUUAACUUCCCCUCGAGGUGACAAAUUUCGUUAUGUACUCCGGCUUAUGUUUCCAUGUACUAACAAUGCAGCUAAAUAUGAGGCAUUACUUCAUGGUCUCCGGGUGGCUAAGGAGAUGAACUUAAGCUGGGUACGAUGCUUGGGCGACUCAGAUUUGGUGGCUCAACAAGUAUCAGGCAAGUGGGAUUCCAAAGACCCCCUGAUGGCGGCUUAUCGUCGUGAAGUAGAUGUUGUGGCUGGUCACUUCACGGGUUAUCAAGUGGAGCACAUUGAUUGAAGGAAGAACGAGGAGGCUGAUGCUUUAAGCCAGUUGGGACCUGAGGGAGUCCUGGACUAGGGGGUGUCCGGACAGCCGGACUAUCAUCGUCCGCCGGACUCCAAGACUACGAAGAUACAAGAUUGAAGACUCCGUCCCGUGUCCGGAUGGGACUUUCCUUGGCGUGGAAGGCAAGCUUGGCGAUACGGAUAUGUAGAUCUCCUACCAUUGUAACCGACUCUGUGUAACCCUAGCCGUCUCCGGUGUCUAUAUAAACCGGAGGGCUUUAGUCCGUAGGACACAACAUACAUUACAACAAUCAUACCAUAGGCUAGCUUUAGGGUUUAGCCUCCUUGAUCUCGUGGUACAUCCACUCUUGUACUACCCAUAUCAUCAAUAUUAAUCAAGCAGGACGUAGGGUUCUACCUCCAUCGAGAGGGCCCGAACCUGGGUAAAACAUCGUGUCCCUUGUCUCCUGUUACCAUCCGCCUAGACGCACAGUUCGGGACCCCCUACCCGAGAUCCGCCGGUUUUGACACCGACAUUGGUGCUUUCAUUGAGAGUUCCUCUGUGUCGUCACCGAUAGGCUCGAUGGCAUCUUCAACCAACGACGCUGUCCUGGGUGAGACUUUUCUCCCCGGACAGAUCUUCGUAUUCGGUGGCUUCGCACUGUGGGCUAAUUCACUUGGCCAUCUGGAGCAGAUCGAAAGCUACGCCCCUGGCCAUCAGGUCAGAUUUGGAAGCCUAAACUUCAUGGCCGACGUCCGCGGAGACUUGAUCUUCGACGGACUCGAGCCGCAGCCAAGCGCGCCGCACUGUUACGAUGGGCAUGAUCUAGCUCUGCCGCCGAACAGUGCCUUGGUAGCCGCACACGAGUCCGCUCUGGCUCUUAUCUCGGAGCCGAUCGCCCAGAUCGAGGACCGGUGGUUGGACACCGCCUCGGAGGAUUCAACUUCCACGGCGAUGGAGCCGAACACUACCCUUGUCCCUCGCGAAACUCGUGACUCCGAGGUGCCGGACUCCUUGCCGGACUCCGGAUCUCCCGCGCCCCUGCCAAUCGAAUCUGAUUGGGCGCCGGUUAUGGAAUUCACCGCCGCGAACAUCUUCCAACAUUCACCCUUUGGCGACAUCCUAAAUUCGCUAAAGCAUCUCUCGCUAUCCGGAGAGUCCUGGACGGAUUACGGCCAGGAUGGUUGGGAUACGGACGACGAAGAAAUUCAGAGCCCACCCGCCACCCACUAUGUAGCCACUGUUGACGAUCUUACCGACAUGCUAAACUAUGACUCCGAAGACAUCGACGGUAUGGACGACGAUGUCGGAGAUGAACAGAAAACAGUGCCUACAAGGGAAGGGAAGACCACCUCGUCAUACAACGUAUACUGGUGGACACCCCAAAAGGAAGCGAUAACGAGGACCAAUGGGGCGCGGCAGAAGAUAGUCCCGCCGACAAACAACCAAAACGGCGACGCAGACGCCGCACUAAGUCCUGCCUCGACAAUAACAGCGCUCCUAACGACCCAGCAAUACAGCAGGGCAAACUAGCGGACGACGAACACGCAGGCAAGCAACCGUCCGAGCAAGACGAGUUGGAAAAUCAAUCUAGGCCCGGCGAAAAUGACAGUCCAGGCGACCUCACGCCGGACACACCGCCGGACAAUAAAAACCUUCGGAAAAGACUCGUUGCCACCGCAAGAAGCUUGAGGAAGGAAAAACGGAAGCUCAAAACAGCGGAAGACACACUCAGAAUGAGGUGGAGAAAAGUGCUCAAAGCCGCAGACAAAUACGGCAAUGGCCAUCAAUCAAAGAGCUACCCAAAGCGCAAGCUACUGCCAGAAUUUGAUGAGGAGGCCACAGAGCCCCCACAGUAAAAAAACAAAGAGGCCGCCUGGUCGGAUAGAUGGCCAGAUGAUCGGCCAAAAUCUGAAAGCGGCGCCGCAUAUAAGCCGACGAACGACCCUGGAAAGACAGAUGGCCCCGCCAGGUCCAUUUACGGGCCAAAGAAGAGGGCCCCAGGAAACGAUGCAACACGACAAGUGUCCGAAGAUAGCGAUGCACCCAAAUACAGGGGCGCCGCACACCCACUAUGUUUCACCAACGAGGUGCUGGAUCAUGAGUUCCCAGCAGGAUUUAAACCUAUGAACAUAGAGGCCUACGACGGAACAACAGACCCUGGAGUCUGGAUAGAAGAUUAUAUACUACACAUACACAUGGCUAGAGGAGACGAUCUCCACGCCAUAAAAUACCUACCCCUCAAGCUCAAAGGGCCAGCCCGUCAUUGGCUUAAAAGCCUCCCAGAAAACACUGUUGGAAGUUGGGAAGAGCUCGAGGAUGCGUUUAGAGCAAAUUUUCAAGGGACUUAUGUCCGCCCUCCGGAUGCAGAUGAUCUAAGCCAUAUAACUCAACAGCCCGGAGAGUCAGCGCGCAAAUUCUGGAACAGGUUCCUCACCAAAAAGAACCAAAUAGUCGACUGUCUGGACGCCGAAGCCUUAGCAGCUUUUAAACACAACGUCUGAGACGAAUGGCUUGCCAGACACCUCGGCCAAGAGAAGCCGAGGACAAUGUCCGCGCUAACAAGCCUCAUGACCCGCUUCUGCGCGGGAGAGGAUAGCUGGCUAGCAAGAUGCAGCACCAGCGACCCAAGUACAUCCGAGAUCAGAGAUGGAAACGGAAAAUCACUGCGCAGAAAAGAGCAGCGCUGGAAUAAAGAGAAAGGCCCAAAGAGCACGGCAGUCAACGCCGGAUUCAAAAGCUCGCGGCCAAACAACAAAACACCGCCUCUUAAGGAUGACAGCGAUGAGCUAUCCAACUUAAACAAGAUUUUGGGUCGGAUAUGUCAAAUCCACAGUACCCCCGGACGGCCUGCAAACCACACCCAUCGAGAUUGUUGGGUUUUCAAACAGUCCGGCCGACUAAACGCCGAACACAAGGGGCUCAACGCGUCAAGCGAAGAUGACAAACCCCACCAGCAAAGCACCGGAAAACAAAAGAAUUUCCCACAAGAGGUCAAAACAGUAAAUUCACUUCAUGUGCUAAUACGGAAAAACAGUGCGGCACCCGUUAAAAUGGGUCUCACACGGUCCAACCCAGCGGAACAUAGAGAUUGGACAUCAAAACCAAUCAUUUUCGACCACCUGGAUUAUUCCAGAAGCGUUCGAAAUGCAGGAUGGACUGCCCUGUUAUUGGAUCCCAUAAUCGAGGGAUUACAGUUUAAGCAAGUCCUGAUGGACGGAGGCAGUGACUUAAACCUGCUCUAUUCAAACACAAUCUGCAAGUUGGGGAUAGACCUUACUAACAUUCGACACAACCGCACUUCCUUUAAAGGAGUGACGCCAGGCCCUUACGCCAAGUGCACAGGCUCCCUAUUACUAGAAGUUGUGUUCGGAUUACCGAACAACUUUCGAUGCGAAAAACUAAUCUUUCAUAUCGCCCCAUUUAAAAGUAGCUAUCAAGCGCUCUUGGGACGAGAAGCUUUUGUCCGCUUCAGCGCCAUACCACAUUACGCGUCUCUUACACUCAAGAUGCCCGGUCCACGUGGCAUCAUUUCAGUGCGAGGGUCAUUUAAAGACCCCGGACACGGUUAGACGAGUCCGGCAUAAAUAAGCUAGGGGCUCCCUAGCCACACAUCCCUUCACAAGGGGCUACAACAGCGAGUUCAUACAGACCCCGCUUUACUUAUUUAUAUUUCUUCUUCCACAUAUACCUUUUUCGCACGAGUUCUUUUUAAACCAAGUUCCUCUCUUUUUACAGAUGAACAACGUGCACACCCGUCCAGGAUAACGGCACAACGGAGACACAGGCGCAGACGUGCAGUAGGGACCCGUCUCGAGGAUUCUUUUCAGAUUAAGACCCUGCGUAAACCUUUUUUACUGUCUCUUGUUGUUAUUUUCCCUUGGUUUCUUCUUAUAACCAAAGUGGAGCCUGACGUUUUGGCAUCGGCCGCGUCAGAGGACCAUGCCCGUACCUGGACACUAGGGGCUUAGGGCAUUGUUCUGCCCAUUAUUAUAAAGACCAAACACCUUAGGGAGUGUUCGGCGUCUCGAGUUAGGCAUUAUAUGCAUCAACUCCGAAUCAUGUCUUUGGUCAAAUGUUGGGUUUGCCCGGCUCCUGUGUUUUGCUGCCUUACGUUCCGUAUCAUCGGCUAACGCGGCACCAGGAGAACUACUGCGAUUGUGCCCCAGUUCGGCUGGGCGAGCACCUCAGUAGAGAAAGCCGAAAACUGACUGUCAUGAUAUAGCGAGAGACUGGUCAACCACUCGACCGACUACUGGAAUGUUUAGAAUUCCCCGCUUUGACGAAGGACCGUUUCCCGGUCACGCACACACGCGCCCCGAAUUUGGAAAAGUGCGGUGCCACAAGGGGCUAUAUCGUAGCCCCACCCUCGAACUCCACUGGCUAAGUGAAAGUGAUAAAGCAUCCUACUCCGGAUUGCCUUGUUUGCUACGCUACCACCUCCUUAACAGGACCGAGACUUCGGAUUAAGUGUGAAAACGUGCUAUUUUUGCGAACACCCCCGCACCUUGUGCGUGGGGGCUGAAGCCGAAGACUGCAAUCUUUCAGGUUAUACAAAUGUAUACAUAAACGGCCGCAUAGGAGAUAUUUUAAUACUUGGGACACACAAGUAUAAAAAGUGGUUACAUUAUAAUCAUUGUCUUACAAGAUAAAAACGUUCAUUUGAACGUAACAUUUUUUGAGCACUGCGACUCUAUUACACGAGCGCCACGCAUAACUUCCCCAAAAUAGUGCUCGGCGGGUAACCGGCUUUCGUCCGAACCCUGGGCGGCAAUAGCGGUGGCAUCCAUCUCUGUCCAAUGUGUCUUCACACGGGCAAGGGCCAUCCGCGCGCCUUCUAUGCAGGCCGACCGCUUCAUCUCCUUGAUAUGCGGCACCGCUCCAAGAAAUUGCUGCAAUAAGCCGAAAUAGCUCGUCGCCUUGGGCCUCUCUGGCCAGACAUGAGCCACGAUAUCAGUCAUGGCAAGUCCGGACAAUCUAUUUAGCUCAGCCCAUUCGGCCAACCGAUCGGUCAACGGAAGUGAACGAUCCGGACUAUGGAAUUGAGACCAAAAUAGCUUUUCCGUCUUGUGAUCCUUCUGGCUCCGGAAGUGCUCAACGGCAUCAACCGCACUUGCAGCUAAGUCCAUAUAUGGAUCCUCCGGACCCCACAACUGGCCAAGUUGAGCAUACUUUUGAUCCGUAAACCAGCGACGCAGCAGAAAAGGCUUGCCAGCCACAAUAUCUCCGGCCUGGCGUAGCUCCUCCUUCAUAGCCCGCAUUGCAGAACGAGCAUCCUUGGCCUCGGCAGUGGCCUUCCCCAGGUCUUCCCGCUCCGAUAAGUGCUCCUUUUAAAGAGCCCCAUUGCGGUCAGCAGCAUAUUUUAAUUUCACGGCCAAUUCGGCCAUCUUUUCCCUGCUUAGGCAGUGUGCAGCCUUUUCGGCUUUCAACUCCUCGGCCGCCCUCGAGGCAGCCGCAUCACUCCUUCGGGCUUGCUCCUUAGCUUGAGCAAGUUAGGCCCGAAGGCUCUCCACAGCAGCAGCACCGUCUGUAUCACAUCAUAUACAUUAUCAGAGGCGGGCUUUGACCCCCUUAAAUAAGCGACUGUGGAGAAUUCAUUUACCUUGUGACUCGUCAAGUCGCCGGUUGACAAGUGCGAUGUCCGCAUCCGCCACGUCAAGUUGCCGCAUUAACCCGGCAACUCCACUAGUCCGGCUAGCCCUCGGACUAUCUGCCACCUGCAUAGGAACGGCGACAUUCAUUACUUGAGAUUUUGAUCCUCGGCACGCUGUCGCUUUCGACAACCUACCGAGUCUCAGGGGCUACUAUCUAUACAGGGCGCACUUUUAUGUGCAAAACUGUCAAAAAGGUGCGACAUUCUUGCGUACCUCAAAUCCCGCCAACAAACUCCUGGCGGCAUUAUGCAAUCCGCUUUCGGCGGACGAAAUCCUUCCAAUCACCAUACGCAUCAAAGCACGGUGAUCUUCUGAGAUCGACGCCCUCUCAAGCAGAUUCUUCAGCUCUCCCGACCAGAUACUAGUGGGCGCCGAACUCUCCGGCCCCUCCGGACUCGGGGACACCCUCCGUGACGAUACUUCAGGCUCGUCUGCCCUGUCCGGCAACGCAGCAGUCGGAGGCAUUUCGCUCUCCAUCAUCUCUGGACGAAGAUCCCCCGAAGACGAACUCAUCUGAGAAGUCCGCAAAUCCGGACUGUAAAGAAAAACUUCGGUUAUCCACAGAAGCACCAAUGGAGGUAUUUUCUUAUUAAUGAACUCCCCUUUUCCUACUCACGGCUCGCUGGAGGGCUGAUCCUUUAGAGACGAUUGUACGUCCGGGUUCUCCCCAGACGCCGGACCCCCCGGUGAAGAUCUCUUCCCCCGUUUAGGGGCUUUGGCCUCCGGAUCUUCGGAGGCGGUCCUCUUCUCCCCUUGGAAGGAGGGGUUUUUGAUCCCCCCCUCUUCAGACGCCCCUUUGGGCGAAAUAAUAGCUCCUCUGUUUUCCCCAUCGCUCCUUUCUACGGGCGCGACCUCCAACAUUCUGACCAGCACGGGCUCUAGUGUGGUCUCUGGGAGGGGAGCCGGACACCUUAUCAGCUUCGAUCGCGCUACCCACUCCUGAUGAAGAGUAAUGGGUCAGGAGGCGAACUCUAGAAAAGCAGAUAAACAGAACGUCCGGACUCUGAGCUAUUUACCUGAGUAUCUGGGCGAUUGCAGCUUAGGCCUGUGUCCUCGGUCAAUUCCGGACACGCUACCUGCGGUCCGAAGAACAACUUGUACAUCUCCACGGGUGUCGCACCCAUGAAGUGUUGGAGAAUUCGAGGUCCCUCCGGAUUGAACUCCCAUAAACGGAGAGGACGGCGUUUGCAGGGCAGAAGACGCCUGAUUAGCAUAACCUGCAUCACCACGACCAGAUUGAUCUCCCUCGCCUGGAGGUCUCGAAUCCGGCCCUGCAAUGAGGGCACGUCUUCGGACGGCCCUCAAUUGAGCCCUUGGUUGACCCACGACAUCAGUCGGUGUGGAGGUCCCGGGCGGAAUGAAGGCGACGGCUUUUGCUUGCUGCCCUUCGGAGCGGUGAUAUAGAACCACUCCUGCUGCCAUAGUCCGAGCUCCUCUUGGAAGGAACCCUCAGGCCACGGGGCAUCGGCCCUUCUGCUUAUGGCCGCCCCGCCGCACUCCGCUUGAUGCCCCUCGAUCAUCUUCGGCUCCACAUUAAAGGUCUUCAGCCACAUGCCGAAGUGGGGAGUGACGCGGAGGAAGGCUUCGCAGACGAUAAUGAAUGCGGAGAUAUGGAGGAUGGACUCCGGAGCCAAGUCGUGAAAAUCCAGCCCGUAGUAGAACAUGAGCCCUCUCACGAAGGGGUCCGUCGGGAAGCCUAAACCCCGACGGAGGUGGGAUACGAAGACAACGUACUCACCGGGCUCGGGAGCGAGCACGGCCUGCCCUUGGGCAGGCAACCUGUGCGAAAUCUCGUAGGACAGGUACUUGGCCUCACGCAACUUUAACACGUCCUCCUCCAUGACGGAGGAGGGCAUCCACCGACCCUGGAGGUCGGAGCCGGACAUGGUUGAGAAUCCGAAGCGCUCGAAUCUGGGGCUCUGGGUGUUGGAACUGGGAGCAAGGAGGAGAUUCGAUGCGAGAUUGAAGAAAAGAAACGAGCCUUGGUCCUCUUAUAAAGGGGGAAAAUACCAAGAGUCGUCUCCGUGACCGUUCGGGAUUCACCUUCGAUAGAGGAGGCGUGGCGACGGACAUGGUUGGGUUACCCACACACGUAUUGAUGAGAAUCCCGGAAUAAGGGGAACACGAUCUCUGCUUCGACAGGACGUGCCAAGGAAACCGCCUCGCUAAACGUGCUGAGGUGGUAUAAUAAAAAACGAUUCAAAUAAAGGCUUGGUAGCGGUGUGAUGUCAUGCCGCAUAAUACGUCAGCAGAUUGGACUGGUGUACAUUUUAUUCUCUCUAUGGUGGAAUGUGGAAUUUAUUUUGCAGAGCCGGACACUAUCCUAGUGUUCAUGAUCUUCUCUGGAUUAUUCAAGGGAGGAACCCGCCUUGCAAUGCCGAACAUUAUGCGCGCCAGACUUAUCGUCAUUGAAGCCUGGUUCAGGGGCUACUGAGGGAGUCCUGGACUAGGGGGUGUCCGGACAGCCGGACUAUCAUCAUCCGCCGGACUCCAAGACUACGAAGAUACAAGAUUGAAGACUCCGUCCCGUGUCCGGAUGGGACUUUCCUUGGCGUGGAAGGCAAGCUUGGCGAUACGGAUAUGUAGAUCUCCUACCAUUGUAACCGACUCUGUGUAACCCUAGCCGUCUCCGGUGUCUAUAUAAACCGGAGGGCUUUAGUCCGUAGGACACAAUAUACAUUACAACAAUCAUACCAUAGGCUAGCUUUAGGGUUUAGCCUCCUUGAUCUCGUGGUAGAUCCACUCUUGUACUACCCAUAUCAUCAAUAUUAAUCAAGCAGGACGUAGGGUUUUACCUCCAUCGAGAGGGCCCGAACCUGGGUAAAACAUCGUGUCCCUUGUCUCCUGUUACCAUCCGCCUAGACGCACAGUUCGGGACCCCCUACCCGAGAUCCGCCGGUUUUGACACCGACAGGAUCCCAACGUAAGCCAGUGCCGCCCAACACCUUUCUUGAUGUGUUACACAACCCUUCUGUCAAGGUACCUACCGAGGAAGACUUAGCAGUGCUAGACCCGGAGGCACCGCUGGUGGCGGCUCUUCAUGUUAUCCCGGAUUGGACGGUACCUUACUUGGCUUAUAUGACCCGGGGUGAGUUGCCAGAGGAUGAGACGUUGGCAAGGCAAAUUGUCAGGCGUUCCAAAUCCAUGACAAUUGUUAACGGCGAGUUACAUCACCUCAGUGUCACAGGGGCGUUUCAACGCUGUGUGUCACCUGCAGAAGGCCAAGAAAUACUCUGUGAGAUCCAUGAAGGAUAUUGUGGCCAUCAUGCCGGGUCAAAAUCCCUCAUGGUUUCUAUUGGUCGACGGCUCACGUUGAUGCGGAAGAUCUGGUCAGUAAAUGUGACGGGUGUCAAAAGUUCUCACGACGAGCUCAUGUGCCGGCUCAAGAGUUGAGGAUGAUCCCAAUUACUUGGCCGUUUGCGGUCUGGGGGCUUGACAUGGUUGGACCUUUCAAAAGGUCUAAAGACAAAAAGACACAUCUACUGGUGGCAGUGGAUAAGUUUACCAAGUGGAUUGAGGCAGAGCCGGUCAAUAAAUGUGAUGCAGCCACGACGGUUCAGUUCAUUAAAAAGGUGAUCUUUCGUUUUGGUUUUCCACAUAGCAUCAUAACUGAUAAUGGCACUAAUCUCUCUAAGGGUGCCAUGGAAGAUCUGUCAAAGAGAACAUAUCCGGCUUGAUGUUUCGGCUGUUGCUCAUCCUCAAUCCAAUGGUCAAGCCGAGAGAGCUUAUCAAGAGAUCCUGAAAGGUAUCAAGCCCCGGCUCUUGGUCCCUUUACAACGGACUCUGGGUUGUUGGGUGGAGGAGUUACCCUCCGUGUUAUGGAGCAUCAACACUAGGCCUAACAGAUCCACGGGAUACACACCUUUUUUCAUGGUUUAUGGAGCAGAGGCGGUCCUGCCAAGUGACAUCCGGCACGACUCACCCCGCGUGGCGGCUUACAUUGAGGUGGAUAACGAAAAGGCUCAUCAGGAUGCACUUGACUUGUUGGACGAAGAGCGAGACUUGGCAAUAGCCCGCUCGGCGAUUUACUAGCAAGACCUGCACCGCUAUCACAGCCGCCGGGUUAAGAGCAGAACCUUUCAGGAAGGCAACUUGGUGCUCCGGCUCAUCCAGGACCAGUCUGACAUGCACAAGCUAUCCCCGCCUUGGGAAGGACCCUUUGUGGUCAGCAAGAAUCUUCACAAUGGGUCAUAUUAUCUCAUCGAUAUUCGAGAGCGCAAGGACUCAUUUAAAUCGGAGGAGGAGACCCGCCGGCCAUGGAAUAUAGCUCAUCUCCGGCCUUACUAUACUUAAGUUACUUCUUAAGAUACUUUCUAUAAUGUACAUAUUAUAUAAAGCAAUAAAGCAGGACCUCUGUCCUUUUUUUCCAUAAAGAAUGUUUCAUGUUUUCUUUAUCAGGUGAUGGACACUGCCAACAGGGGAUGGAUCAUAUCUGAAUCCGGCUUUCCCUUUGGUCCAGCUUAUGAUCAUAUAUGAAUCUAGCCUUGGUCACUUGGGGGCUUCCUGUUCAAACAUAGGUCGUAUUCGAACCAAAGAGAACAUAGCUGUCGAUACCCACUUGAUGGGCAUAUUGCCAAACCCACUUGGGGGCUUCCUGAUCAAAUUUGAAUCAUAGCUUAACCCCUUUGGGUCUUACGUGGAUCGCAUUCGAAUCAGCGUGAUUAAACAACUCUUAUGUUCACUUGGGGGCUUCCUGUUCAAACAUAGGUCGUAUUCGAACCAAAGAGAACAUAGCUGUCGAUACCCACUUGAUCGGCAUCGCCAAAGCCACUGGGGGCUAUAUGAUCGUAUCCGAAUCUUAGCUUAACCCCUUUGGAACGGUUCUCUGAUCGUAUUCGAAUCAGGAGCCUGUGAACAUUUGCAAAUAUGAGUAUUUUUACUAUCAUUGAAACCUUCUUGAGGAGAUGGUUCUUUCCGGCUUUAUAUUCGUUACUUCAGGUUCUAACAAGUGCCGGGUAAAAACUUCUAUGAGCUGGAGAGGUUAUUAAAAAGCUGUCACAGGUAUGCUGUUCUGAUUAUGUUUUAAACUAAUCAUGAACCGGCUUAUACAUAUGAUUUUUUAUCAUGUCCGGGUUAUCAAUAUUCUAUAACCCGCUGGUGCAGUGAAUCGCCCAGGAAAGCCUUGCCUGUUUUAUGUGCAGGCUAAAACGUAGCAAGGUGAUGGUCAAGGAAACACUUGAUUAACAUAAGCAAGAUGGAUUUAGUACUGGCAGCUUAACAAAAGCAAAAAGUACCAUAAGGCAUGACAGGCAUUAAGGAGUUUUUCUAUCCUAUUACAAGACUCCCCGAGUCUGAAUAAGUGAAGCAUUGUUCUUUGCCAAGUUAUAACCCGGCUGGCGGAUCAUUCCUUCGGCUGGCUUGAUGACUCCGGGUUAUCCUUCCCCGCCUCUCCUUCGGUUGUUGUGUCCUGGAAGGUGGACGAGGCCCAGUCAAUGCCGCUCAAAGCUUCAAAUUCAGCUUCAUCAUCUAUUAAACUGGCCGGGUCCACUUUAGGGGCAAAGGUAUGCUUACGCGUUGGAGGGAGUAGGCUGACUUGGUCAUACGGGACAUUGGGGAUUCUCCGGUUCUCGCUAUCAUAACCCGGCGAAUACUUGGUGAGAUCAGUGUCCUCCCCAAUGAGAGUUGCCAGAGGGCGGACGACCUUAACACAGGCAGUAAAGUCCUGUUCGCCAAAAGCAGUGCCGUCCUCCUUAAGACUUGGAUAUCCAAGAGAGAGGUCAGCAAGGUCAAGCUCUCGCACCCAUGCUUUUGCCCGACUCAGCGCAGCCACGGCUCCGGCUCUCGCAAAUGCCCGCCUUAAAUCUUGAAUGCGUUGAGGUAGCACCGACAGAUGUCUCAAUACGUCUUGCAGGAGCCGGGGAGAGGUAUUUGAUAAAGCCACAACGGUCAACGCACGUUGUGACCCGGAGUAUAGCUGUUCUGACAAGGUAUACACUGCCUUAAGCUUGAAAAGCAUAUUUUCCUUCAGAUUAGUACUCCUGGGGCCUGCAUAUUCACAGGUAUAACAAUAAGCCGGAGGCAACUAUCACGAUAACUCUUGAAGGAUUACAAUAUUUAUGAGCGUCUUACCAAAGAUAGCUGAGACCAUUUGGGAUAUGUGCCGCUUUAAGUCGGACAACUCAUUGGUUGCCUCGGCAAGAGAUGCCUCCGCUGUCUCAACCCGGGUCACCAAUGAAGCCCUCUCAUCAACCCAAGCCUUCUUUUCCGAUUCAAAAUUCUUCUUCAGCUUCUCUUGUUCAGAGAUACUGAAUUCAAACUUGGAAUUGGUUUUCUGAGCUUCGAGCUCUUGGGUUUUCAACUAGCUCUUCAAGUCAGCAAUCUCCGCCUCAAAUUGACUUGCGGUGGCCUGCAUUGACAUCAGGUUAUGGUAAGAAUCUUGGUAAGAUAACAUUUAAGUCCCAAGCAUUUUACCAGUAAAGAUACUUGGCACUUGGGGGCUAAUGUAUGUUUAAAGAAUUUUUAAGUUUAUUUUACCAAGUUACACACAUUAAGUCUCAAGCACUUUACAAGUAAAGGUACUUGACACUUGGGGGCUAAUGUGACCCAAAUUUAACGUUUCAUGUUAUCUCCGGGUUAAACAUAUUCAAUUUAAACCGGAUGAAACUAAUGGCUAGCAGAUUACUAAGUCUACAGCAUAUUCAGUCAUAAGCAAUAGACUUGGGGGCUGGUACAGUAAGUAAGAUUCAGAGUGAAAUCUUAAAUUUUACCUCAGAUUUAUGCUGUAUUUGCUUCACCAUGUCAAUUUCCAAGUCACGACUACUGUGUACUUGGUUCAGAUAGCCCGAGACUAUAUCACCAAUACUUAAGUGAGAGUAAUCGGUGAUGUCUUGUUUGGACUUCCGGCGCCGGGCAAAUUCCUCCUUGGCGGUGCAUUGUGCAAGGGUAGUAGGCCAGCCCGGUUCAAUGUAUUGGCUCUUCACAAUUUCAACCUCCGGGUCAGCUGUCUUGGCCAGGCUAGGAACUUCCGGGUCAUCCGAGUUAUGAAUCACGUCUUCUGCAGGCGGGUCAGAAGAUGGCUCCGAAAUGUCAGAAGCCGGUUCAGGCGAUGGCUGAUGAGCGGAGCUAUCUGGAACGGAUGAGUCAAGCACCGGUUCAGUAACCACCGGGUCUUGGGACGGCUUAUUUUUCUUUGCCUUCUUGCUGGGCUUUACUUGUCCGCUGUCAAUCAAAGUGGAAGGGUAAGUAUCAAAGCAUAAGUAUAGAUAAACUCAAAGUAAGAAAGGUUAUAUUACCCGGGAGCUGUCUUGAAAGCCGGCAUGUUCGAUUGCAUCGACUCAUCAGAAGAAGGGGAGGUAUCUUGAUAGUUGGAGUCAGAUGAAUUGAGAGGUUGGCGAAUCAAACCCAUCAAGGGUAAAACAAAAUGUAAGUCAAAGAUAACCUCAGUCCGACGCUUCCUGGUUACAUCGGGUAAGUCGGAGGAAAGCUCUGCGUCCUGGUUGGCCCGAGUCUGUCGCCGGUUCACAAGCUUCUGUUGCUUCAAAAGAAAUUGAGGAUCUUGGUAAGCGAGAGGGUGUGAAAACCUUACUUUCCGGGUCACCCUUCGGAUUCUUUGUGUUGGCAAAGGCUCUGAGUCGGAGGAAAUUAUAGUUACCUCUUCGCCAGCUGCUUGGCUGUUCCCAGUAUCCUCCUGAAAGGAUCUAAAUGUCAGUAAGGUAACGGUGAAGGGAUUAAAGAAAAUUAAAAAUAUUACCUCUUCCUCAUCUGAAGAAGAGUCAUCCAAUCUCAUCAUAUCAGAGGCGCUGGGGUUCUUCUUUUUAGAAGUACCCGUCCUGGCGGCUUUCCUUUUGGUCUUCUUGGUCGCCUCGGGCCAGUUUUGCAGCCUCAUGGUCAUACUUGACCUUCCAGAAGUUGUCAUCGGCCUGUGGAAAAAGACAAGGAAUCAUAAGUACCAGAAGGUAACAUAUUAAAGAGUAUUUGUGAAGAUUAGUAACUUACUGCAGGAGCCGGAUUCUUCUUGCAGAAGGGAAGCAAACUGAAAGUGUUACUGGUUACAAUGCCUUCCUUCAAUAGUGAUUGGACGGUAGCAUCUACCACAUCGUCUGGUAAGUCCUCAGGAUUAUGACGCAUUGAGUCGUCCUUUUCGCCUGUGUAAGUACACAUUAAGCCGGAGUGGCGGCUUAAUGGUAAUAUCCGCCAGGUGACCCAGACCCGGACCAAAUCAAUGCCAGUUAACCCGUUGCCUAAGAGGGCCUUGAUCUUUCUGAUGGUGGGGUUAAGAGGCAGGCGCUCAACAGCAGUUAACUUGUCCGGCAAAGGAUGUUUGGAUUCAAGGCGCAGGGCGCGAAAGCCGGGUAGAGGCUUCUCGUUAGCCGGAGAGGUGUCUUGGCAGUAGAACCAUGUCUGGUUCCAGUCUUUGGGAUGACUCGGCAGCUCAGCGUAAGGAAGAAGGCAGUCUCUCCGCCGCUGGAUUGAGAUGCCGCCAAGUUCAAGACUAGGUCCACUGGCGCGCUCAUUCUGCCGGUUUAAGUAAAAAAGCUCCCUGAACAGCAGCAGACUUGGUUCCUCUCCUAAAUAAACCUCGCAGAAGACUUGGAAGUUACACAGAUUGGACACGGAAUUGGGUCCAAUGUCUUGAGGCCUCAGGUCAAAGAAAUUCAGAACUUCCCUGAAGAAUUUUGAGCCGGGAGGGCAAAUCCCCGGUUCAUGUGGUCUGUGAAAACUACUACCUCUCCGUCUUUGGGUUGAGGUAUCUCUUCAGACAGGUGAGGGGCAUGAUAGGACAUGACCUCCUUUUUUGGCAGAUGGCCAGACGCUACAAACUCGGCAAGCUUGCUUUUAGUGACUGUGGAUGGAACCCAGUUGCAAGUCAUAGGGGGCUUGGCCACCUUAGGAGCCAUAAUGACAGUGGCCUACGACAAAGUAAAAAGUUCCGGUUCACAUUUAACCCGGGAGAAAUAUUCAAAUUUAUUUAAAAUAGCGGUUUAAGCAAGGGGCCUAAUGAUAUAAGGGUGAUAGUGCAGUAAAGUUUAAACCGCUAUCAGGAUCAACAGUCAUUCAAGGAUUUUUUAAGCCGGACACCUAGACAGUGGUGAUAAAGUAAGUUUUCCAGAAGAAGCUUUCCGGGUGAUAGAAACAAGUUUCACAGAUAACAGCCUUUAUUAUGGAUCAAAAUAUUGUUCUGAAGGAGAAAAAUUUCUAGACCUAGAAACAGGGCAGAGAAGUUCAUGCAUUCAGGGGAGGUCUCCAAACAAGAAAAAGGGGAUCUAUUUCUAUACAAGGUCAAUGCGGACAACUACCGCAGCAGUUCUGCACAGUUCUUAUGAUCUAAAACAGGCUGCGGAAGUAUGAACUAUCAAGAGUUUGCAUCGGGCAGUGAUGAACCCGACGAACUUGGAAGAGCAUCAAGAUAGAUCUAAGGAAAGAGAAGAAAGGAACUCACGGAUGAAGAUGAACCGCGGAGGCUCGCCGUCGAUCUCUGGUUGAAAGUCAGGUCGAUGCAGCGGCCUGAGUCGACGAAGACGAAGGGGUCGAAGGUGACGGCGGCGGAGCUUGAGUGGCAGAGAGGAGAGGAAGAAGACGACGGAACGGGUAAAAGGGAAAUGACCUAAGUCGUGGCUAUUUAUAGGAAGGAGAUGACUGGGACGGCGCGAGAAAUGAGGAGAUAACAAUUAUUAUCCAGCGGCCCUGACACCUCGGUUUUCAGAACAGUCAGUAAAGAAAAGAUCCGUUGAAGGAUUCGGUGGAAUAAAAAAUGAGUUGAAGGAAGGAUGACGUCACGCCGAGUUAAGACGGAACCAGAAGAUGACAUCAUGGCGGGUUAACAAAAACCCUCUAUAUAGUCAGAAGACUGAAGAUUUAAUUCUUUAAAAAUAUUCUUUAGACUGACAUGAACAGGUUCAAAUCAGUCUGGGGCCUAAUGUUGGGGAUAUGACUAUUUGUGUAAGCCGCCCAGGAGGGGCCGGGUUACGCAAAGAGUACACAUCAGAGGAAGCCCAAGUCCAAGCAUGAAGAUGGCGGUUCAAUAAAGAGCUUAAGGCCCACGGGCGGCUUAAGCCCGUUGUAGUAAACCGCCAUGGUCGCACGACUUGUAAUGUAAGGUAGAUUUAACUGGUCACCGAGCCGGACUCUGUUUAUAAGUCGGCCGAGACUCUGUAAGCCGCAGGUGUCAACCCGUGUAUAUAAGGGGACGACCUGCUGGCGACUUAGGGCAAGAAACAACUCAUCGAGAGCCGGGCAUAGCGUAUCUCGCUCCCUGGUCAUCGAAACAUCAAUACCAACCCAACUAGACGUAGGCCUUACCUUCACCGUAAGGGGCCGAACUAGUAUAAACUCUCUCGUGUCCCUUGUCCCGAUUUAACCCCUUCAAGCUUCCUAGUUGCGAUGGCUCCACAACUAAGUCCUUUCACGAGGACAUCUGACGUGACUAUUCCACGACAACAAGUGUGAUCAAUAUCUCCUACUCACUAAUAUUUUCAUGAAAAAUUUUCAUUUUCAUGCUAGGAGAUCACCACCUUCGGUAGAAUUUUAUUUAUAUGAUGAGUUUAAGGAGAUGUCACUCUAUGAUUUUUGUGAGGUUUGCAAAUUGCCUUUUGAGGGCAGCGUCGAGGAACCACAUUCUAGUGAUGUGGGAGAUUUUAUUAAUGAAAUUACCAUAGGGGAAAGGAGAAGAGUGUCAGAUGCAAGAAUUACUAGUAUACAUUUUCCUAUUAUACGUUACUAUGCAAUAUUUGCUAGUAGAUGUUUAAUUGGUCGCGGGAACAGUGGGGGCCUCAAUGCUCCUGACCUUGCCAUUUUGCGCCAUGCUUUACUUCGUGAUAAAACUUUCAGUUUAGGUGCUAUGGUUGCUAAAUGGUGGAGACUAAACCGUUCAAAAGGCCCAUUUUUGGAGGUAUCUUUGCUUCGCGUCUUGCUAAAUAUUUUGAGAUACCUAUUAGACACUGUGAGAAAGAAGAAAAGGUGUUGCCCACUGUUUACUUAGAUUAUAAAAGGAUGGUAGCACAUGAUUUUCUUUGUUAUGAUAAGGAAAAGAGACUCAUUUAUAACCUGGUAUUUAGUGAAGAUACUUGUCAGAUUAUUACCUUGCCUGCACCUUCUUUGUUUAAUAUUCACUCAGGCACAUACUUCAUCAUGCCCGUGGACAUUCAUGCAUAAUGGGAGCGGACACGAUCCCUAGAUCCUGAGCCAGAGCCAUCACAUGAUCCAUAUCAGGAGUCUAUUUAUCAGUGGGAUCCGUAGGAGCUCGCUAACCAGUGGAACCCCGAGGAUCCUCCUAAGUACACCAGAGCAGACUACUUUGAUCCAUGGUGUAUACCAACUUAGGCCAAAAGCCUAAUCUUGGGGGAGUACGUAUUUCUCACCGACAUUACAUUCAUGUUCACACACUCAUUCUAGUUGUCAGUGUUCAUACUUUUUCAUUGUACUAUCCAUGCUAGUUUAUUUCCUUUUCCUGCUUUCUUCUUGUGUUUGAAAAACUUUUGAGAAAAAACAAAAAAAAUAGUUGUAGCUUCUAGCAAGUUUACUUUCCAUGCUUGUAGCGGUAGUAUCAUAAGAAAACCCAAAAAUAUUUCGCAUUCUUCUUUUGCUUGUUGGGAGCUUUCCCGUGUAAAUAGUUUUUCUCGUUCUUUGAAAUUCUUUUCUUUUCCUUGGGGGUCGAGAGGAGACGACCACGAUGAAAAUGUUGAGUGGCUUUCAUAUACAUUAUUGUUGAUCUAACAAAGAGCCCAUAUUACCUUGUCUUCUCCUUUGAAUUAAAUGUUUGCAGAUUUCAUCUUAGUCCAAUGCAUGUGCACUAUUAUUAUUAUCCACACCGUUCGGUCAUGUAAGUGAAAGGCAAUAAUGACGAUAUAUGAUGAAAUGAUUGAGAUGAGGAAAAGCUGGUAUGAACUCGACCUAUCUUGUUUUUUUAAAUAUGAUUAGUUCAUCGUUCCUGAUUCAACAUAUUAUGGAUGAAACAUGUUUGCAAUGACAAUUAGAGAUUAUAGUUACUCAUGCCAUGGUUAAUUAGCUGAGAGUUUAUAAUAAUUUACCUUGUGUGCCAACAUGCUAUUAAAAUGGUUGUGAUGUAGUAUGAUUGGGUGGUAUCCUCCUUUGAAUGAUUCGAGUGGCUUGACUUGGCACAUGUUCACGUAUGUAGUUGAAACAAAAUCAACAUAGCCUCCACGAUAUUUAUGUUCAUGGUUUUUUAUAUCCUACUCAUGCUUGCACUCAUUGUUGGUUAAUCCUAAUGCAUUAUUAUGACUGUGCCGCUCUGUAGUUGGUCGCUUCCCAGUCUCUUUAUAGCCUUCACCUGUGAUAUGUCUCCAACGUAUCUUUAUUGUUCCAUGCUAUUAUAUUACCUGUUUUGGAUGUUUAAUGGGCUCUAAUAUGCUCUUUUAUAUUAUUUUUGGGACUAACCUAUUAACCGAGGGCCUAGUGCCAGUUUCUGUUUUUUUUCCUAUUUUAGAGUUUUGCAGAAAAGUAAUACCAAAUGGAGUCCAAACGGAAUGAAACCUUCGCGAUGAUCUUUCUUGGACCGAAAGCAAACCAGAAGACUUGGAGAUGAAGUCGGAGAGGCAACAAGGCAGCCACGAGGCAAGAGGGCAUGCCCCCCACCCUCGUGGGCCCCUCGUAGCUCCCCUAACCUAGUUCCUUUGCAUAUAUAUACUCUUAUACCCUAAAAACAUCAGAGGGAGCCACAAAACCACUUUUCCACCACCGGAACCUUUUGUACCCAUGAGCCCAUCUUGGGGCCUUUUCCGGUGAUCUGCCGGAGGGGGAUUCGAUCAUGGAGGGCUUCUACAUUAACACCAUUACCUCUCCGACGAAGCGUGAGUAGUUUACUACAGACCUUCGGGUCCAUAGUUAUUAGCUAGAUGGCUUAUUCUCUCUCUUUGAUUCUCAGUACCAAGUUCUCCUCGAUGUUCUUGGAGAUCUAUUCGACGUAAUAUUCUUUUACAGUGUGUUUGCCGAGAUCCGAUGAAUUGUGGAUUUAUGAACAAGAUUAUCUAUGAAUAUUAUUUGGCUCUUCUCUGAUUUCUUAUAUGCAUGAUUUGAUAUCUGUGAAAGUCUAGUCGAAUUAUCGGUUUAGUUUGGACUACUAGAUUGAUCUUUCUUGCAAUAGGAGAAGUGCUUAGCUUUGGGUUCAAUCUUGCGGUGUCCUUUCCUAGUGACAGCAGGGGAAGCAAGGCACGUAUUGUAUUAUUGCCAUCAAGGAUAACAAAUGGGGUUUUCAUCAUAUUGCUUGAGUUAAUUCCUCUACAUCAUGUCAUCUUGCUUAAUGCGUUUCUCCGUUCUUUAUGAACUUAAUACUCUAGAUGCAUGCUAGAUAGCGGUCGAUGUGUGGAGUAAUCGUAGUAGAUGCAGGCAGGAGUCGGUCUACUUGACACGGACGUGAUGCCUAUAUUUAUGAUCAUUGCCUUAGAUGUCAUCAUAAUUAUGCGCUUUUCUAUCAAUUGCCCGGCAGUAAUUUGUUCACCCACCGUAAUAUAUGCUAUCUCAAGAGAAGCCACUAGUGAAACCUAUGGCCUCCGGGUCUCUUUUCCAUAUUAUUGAAUCUCGUUUACAUCUUGCUAGUUUCCGAUCUACUAUUUUGCAAUCUUUACUUUCCAAUCCAUAAACCAAAAAUACCAAAUAUAUUUACUUACCGUUUAUCCAUCUCUAUCAGAUCUCACUUUUGCGAGUGACCGUGAAGGGAUUGACAACCCCUUUAUCGCGUUGGUUGCAAGUUCUUGAUUGUUUGUGCAGGUAUUCAGUGACUUGUGCAUCGUCUCCUAUAGGAUUGAUACCUUGGUUCUCAAAACUUAGGGAAAUACUUACACUACUUUGCUGCAUCACUCUUUCCUCUUCAAGGGAAAACCAACGGAAGCUCAAGAGGUAGCAACCUGUACUAAGCGGGAAUACUGCUUGUGCAUCCACUUCCAUAAACCCCAAAGUUGUUCCAUAUGAGUCCACCAUACCUACCUAUAUGCGAUAUUUACCUACCGUUCCAAGUAAAUUUGCCUGUGCCAAACUCUAAACCUUCAAAUGAAAUUCUGUUUUGUAUGCUUGAAUCACUCAUGUAUCAACUAGGGCUGUCUAUAUCUUCCAUCCUAGGUGGGUUGUUCCCACGAUGAGUGGACUCCGCUCAUCAUCCACGAGAAAAUGGCCGGUAACCGGGAUGCCCAGUCCCAUGCUCAAAUCAAAUCAAAAUAAUUGCAAACAAAACUCCCCCAGGAUUGUUCUUAGUUGGACGAUACCCGUUGUUUCGGACCAGCCGUGGAAUGUGCUUGUUGGUGGUGGGGGAGUAUAAACUUUACCAUUCUAUUUGGGAACCGCCUAUAAUGUAUGUAGCAGGGAAGAUAUCGAGAUCUCUUGGUUGUUAUGUUGACAAUGAAAGUAUACCAUUCAAAAUAUUAUUUAUCUCUGUUUGAAAAACUCGAGCUCUGGCACCUAUGCAAAUCCCUGCUUCCCUCUGCGAAAGGCCUAUCUAUUUACUUUUAUGCUGAGUCAUCAUCCUCUUAUAAAAGGCACUAGUUGGAGAGCACCACUGUCAUUUGUAUGCAUUGUUAUUAAUUGAUAUUGAGUAUGACUAUGACUGGAUCUCUAUUGCCAUGAAUUACAAUGUCUAGUCGGUCCUUGAUAUUCAGGGGUGCUCCGCAUUUAUGUUUUGCGGUCUCAGAAAGGGCUAGCGAGAUACCAUCUUGUUAUAACAUAUCAUGAUUGUUUUGAGAAAGUGUUGUCAUCCGAGAUUUAUUAUUAUUACUCGCUAGUUGAUUAUGCCAUUGAUAUGGGUAAAUGUGAGACCUAAAUGUUAUUGUGAAUAUGGUUAGUUCAUGAUCUUUGCUGAAAACUUGAAUGUUGGCUUUACAUAUUUGCCACAACAAGAUCAAACAGAGUUUGUAAAAGUUUUUCUUUAUCACUUUCAGUUUGUCAACUAAAUUGCUUGAGGACAAGCAAUGGGUUAAGCUUGGGGGAGUUGAUACGUCUCCAACGUAUCUACUUUUUCAAACUCUUUUGGCCUUGUUUUGGACUCUAAUUUGCAUGAUUUGAAUGGAACUAACCCGGUCUGACGCUGUUUUCAGCAGAAUUGCCAUGGUGUUAUUGUUGUGCAGAAAUAGAAGUUUUCGGAAUGACCUAAAACUUCAAGGAGACACUUUUUUGAGUUAAUAAAAAAUACUGGCGAAAGAAUCAAUUGAAGGGGGCCCACACCUUGGCCACGAGGGUGGGGGUGCGCCCUCUUGCCUCGUGGCCCCCCUGGACCUCACCGAGCUCAACUCCAACUCCAUAUAUUCAUGUUCGGGGAGAAAAAAAAUCAGAGAGAAGGAUUCAUCGCGUUUUAUGAUACGGAGCCGCCGCUAAGCCCUGUUCUUCCUCGGGAGGGCUAAUCUGGAGUCCGUUCGUGGCUCCGGAGAGGGGAAUCCAUCGCCAUCGUCAUCAUCAACCAUCCUCCACCACCAAUUUCAUGAUGCUCACUGCCGUGCGUGAGUAAUGCCAUCGUAGGCUUGCUGGACGGUGAUGGGUUGGAUGAGAUUUAGCAUGUAAUUGAGUUAGUUUUGUUAGGGUUUGAUCCCUAGUAUUCAUUAUGUUCUAAGAUUGAUGUUGCUAUGACUUUGCCAUGCUUAAUGCUUGUCACUAGGGCCCGAGUGCCAUGAUUUCAUAUCUGAACCUAUUAUGUUUUCAUGAAUAUAUGAGUGUUCUUGAUCCUAUCUUGCAAGUUAUUGUCACCUACUACGUGUUAUGAUCCAGCAACCCUGGAGUGACAAUAGCCGGGAGACUUCUUGGUGAUGACCGUAGUUUGAGGAGUUCAUGUAUUCACUAAGUGCUAAUGCUUUGGUCCGGUUCUCUAUUAAAAGGAGGCCUUAAUAUCCCUUAGUUUCCAUUAGGACCCCGCUGCAACGGGAGGGUAGGACAAAAGAUGUCAUGCAAGUUCUUUUCCAUAAGCACGUAUGACUAUAUUCGGAAUACAUGCCUACAUUAUAUUGAUGAACUAGAGCUAGUUCUGUGUCACCCUAUGUUAUAACUGUUGCAUGAUGAAUGCCAGCCGACAUAAUUAUCCAUCAUUGAUACAUUGCCUAUAAGCUCAUUUCAUAUUGAUCUUUGCUAAGUUACUUCACCGUUGCAACUGUUACGAUUGCUACAAAAUUACUACUGUUACUUUUGCCACCGUUACCAUUACUUCCAUACCACUUUGCUACUAAAUACUUUGGUGCAGAUAUUAAAUCUUUCAGGUGUGGUUGAAUUGACAACUCAACUGCUAAUACUUGAGAAUAUUCUUUGGCUCCCCUUGUGUCGAAUCAAUAAAUUUGUGUUGAAUACUCUACCCUAGAAAACGGUUGCGAUCCCCUAUACUUGCGGGUUAUCACGGUGAUGUCUACUACACAACCUUCUUCUUGUAGAUGUUGUUGGGCCUCCAAGUGCAGAGGUUUGUAGGACAAUAACAAAUUUCCCUCAAGUGGAUGACCUAAGGUUUAUCAAUCCAUGGGAGGCGUAGGAUGAAGAUGGUCUCUCUCAAACAACCCUGUAACCAAAUAACAAAGAGUCUCUUGUGUCCCCAACACACCCAAUACAAUGGUAAAUUGUAUAGGUGCACUAGUUCGGUGAAGAGAUGGUGAUACAAGUGCAAUAUGGAUGUUAGAUAUAGGUUUUUGUAAUCUGAAAUUAUAAAAACAGCAAGGUAGCAAGUAGUAGAAGUGAGCGAAAACGGUAUUGCAAUGCUUCAAAACAAGUCCUAGGGUUCAUACUUUCACUAGUGCAAGUUCUCUCAACAAUAAUAACAUAAUUAGAUCAUAUACUAGUCCCUCAACAUGCAACAAAGAGUCACUCCGAAGUCACUAAUAGCGGAGAACAAACGAAGAGAUUAUUGUAGGGUACGAAACCACCUCAACGUUAUUCUUUCCGAUCAAUCCAUUGGGCUAUUCCUAUAAGUGUCACAAACAGCCAUAGAGUUCGUAGUAAACUAACACCUUAAGACACAAAUCAACCAAAACCCAAAUGUCACUUAGAUACUCCAAUGUCACCACAAGUAUCCGCGGGUAUGAUUAUACAAUAUGCAUCACACAAUCUCAAAUUCAUCUAUUCAACCAACACAAAGAACUUCAAAGAGUGCCCCAAAGUUUCUACCGGAGAGUCAAAAAAUGUGUGCCAACCCCGAUGCAUAGAUUCCCAAGGUCACAGAACGCACAAGUUGAUCACCAAAACAUACAUCAAGUGAAUCAAUAGAAUACGCCAUUGUCACCACGGGUAUCCCAUGCAAGACAUACAUCAAGUGUUCUCAAAUCCUUAAAGACUCAAUCCGAUAAGAUAACUUCAAAGGGAAAACUCAAUCCAUUACAAGAGGGUAGAGGGGGAGAAACAUCAUAAGAUCCAGCUAUAAUAGCAAAGCUCGUGGUACAUCAAUACCAUGCCAUAUCAAUAAGACGAGAGAGAGAGAGGGAGGGAUAGAGAGAGAGAGAGAGAUCAAACACAUAGCUACUCGUACAUACCCUCAGCCCCGAGGGUGAACUACUCCCUCCUUGUCAUGGAGAGUGCUGGGAUGACGAAGAUGGCCACCGGUGAUCGAUCCCCCCUCCGGAAGGGUGAUGGAACAGGAUCCCGAUUGGUUGGUUUUUGGUGGCUACAGAGGCUUGCGGUGGCGGAACUCCUGAUCUAGGUUAUGUUCUGGAGGUUUGGGGAUUUAUAGGAGAGGUUGGCGUUAAGAACAAGUCAGGGGUCCCCACGGUGAGUCCACGAGGCAGGGGGCGCCCUAGGAGGGGGCGCCCUCCACCCUUGUGGGGCCCACGGGACUCCCCUCUGGUAACUCUUUGUUCCAGUAUUUUUAUAUUUUCCAGAAAAAAUCUCCGUUGAUUUUCAGCGCAUUUCGAGAACUUUUAUUUCUGCACAAAAACAUCACCACGGUAGUUCUACUAAAAACAGCGUCAGUCCGGGUUAGUUCUAAUCAAAUCAUACCAAAAUCAUGUAAAAAUAUUGUAAACAUGGCAUGAAUACAUCAAAAAUUAUAGAUACGUUGGAGACGUAUCACACGACCAUGUCGGGGAAAUUGCGAACACCAUAGUUCGGCCGCGACGAGCAUGAUCAGCGACCGACAAACACGGCUUAAGGAUAAUCUUCCUCUUCGAAAGGUUGCAGGUUGUCUCGCAACCCCCUUUCCACCUGCAGCCUCGACAGGCCAUGCGAUGAUUAUGAAGGAUUACUUUACAGUCAAUGCAAUGUAUUGAGAAAGGUAUUUUUGGCGACUAUCUCUUAUGAACUGAAGUCUCUUCCUUGCCAUUGGGUUAGGGACCAUUUUUAUUUAACUCCUGAAAAUUUACGAGUCAAGAUUUGAGGAGACAUUUGAGGCUAAAGUUUAGGGGAUCGGGUAGAGUUUCCCUAAGCUCUCUUCUCUGGCGCCGACGACCAUCCAUGUACGCCACAACACAAACUCUUUGACCCUAUAUCUUUCCUCUCGUCUGCAACCUCGUUAUCCCUCUCUCUGCUAUGGUCAAGACUUCAGCACUUCGCCUCUCGUCUUCCUCUCUCAGAGAAAAUCGAGUGACUCCCGAAUCAUUUUCAACCAACUAUAGACUAACAAACGGUUUGCAUCGUCUUGCAUAAAAGUAGGCUAAGAGCAUCUACAAUCGGGGUGCCUCAAACCAAUCUUAAACGCCUCGGCAGGCCGCUCGGUCACUGACCAGUAAAGAAAUGACCCACUCGGGCACCUCAAACAGGCCUCAAACGCCCGAGCUAUUCGGUGCCCCUCAUAUCUAACCCAAAUGUAGGGUCGUUAUGGAGUGGUCGGGCGUGUCUGCCACGUCAGCCCAGCCGACCCCAACCCCAUUCUAUCCCCUCCAAUACCUUAACACAGAACCCUAGAUCAUUUCACUCUCCUCUCUCGCUCCGUCUCUUCUUCUCCCCUCCUUCGAUUCUCCGAUUUCGAUCCACUCCGGCGUCUUCGGCGAGCAUGUCGAAUGUCGGUAGCCGAUCCGGCUACACCCUCGUUGUCAAGGAGGAGCUGGCUGUAACACCCCUGUAUUUUGGGCUACAGUAACCUAUGUGAUUAAGCCAAAUCAUUUUGCUAAACAGUGCUUGAUCACCUUUGAUUCCAUAUCUCAUUUUAAAUUUCACUUUGAAUUCAAAUUCGAACAAUAAGUGAAUUAAAGAAAUUCACAAACAUGAAAACUAAAAAGUUCAUAUGGUGGAAAAUAAUACAUAAAUAAUUAUGGUGGUGAACCAACAUUUUUAUAAAGUGUUUAAGUGCCUAAAAAUAAACAAAACAGGGGCUAAAACAAUAAUUUAAAUGCUUUUUUUGAGAAUUUAUGACAGUGGGAGAGGAUCCCGCUGACCUUUAAAUUAAAUGGUUAGUUUGUCAGUACAGUUCGGUCAAUCCCAUAUACACAGAGUUACAUGGUGAGGGGGGAGGGGGCAGAGUAAUGAAGUUUACAACUUUACAAAUUAGCAACUAGAGACAGGAUAUACGGGGUAAGCUCAUGUUUAGACCUAUGGACUAGCAUAGCAAAGUCCAUUUUGAACCUGGCCCUCCAAGACUCAAACAUCGGCUGGAUUCCUCUAAAGUGUUUGUCAUUUCUUUCCUUCCAAAUCCCCCACGCAGCCACUGUGAACACCUCCAUGAACAUGGGCCUGUUCCACGAGUCUUUUCCAACAUGUAGCAGCGUCAGCCUGCAAUCACCAACAGGCCAGUGGAUCCCCACAGCAUCCCAACACCUCUGACUAAACGGGCAGUUGAAGAAAAGAUGGGCAACAUCUUCUUCUGUGGGAUUGUGACAUAACAGACAGGUGUAGUCAUCAUUUUGGAUUUUAUAGUGCCUCCUCCUCAGCAUGUUUCUUGUGUUUAGUCGGUCAGCAAGGAGAAGCCAGGCAAACAUUUUCCACUGCAUCGUGCACUUAGUUUUCUAGUUCCAUCCAAAGGCCUCAUCCAUCUGCAUGUUUCUGAAACAGUGAUCAUAAAACCUGGUUGUUUGAAAACUAAUCCCACCCCAAACACAUUUGCAGACAUCUACUCCCUCGGCCAGUGUAACAUCCGAGGUCAUGUGCUGCAAACCACGCACCUCUUGCCGAGCUUCAACCAAGAGGGGUAGAUGGAAUUUCUCUUCCAAUCUCUCUGAGGACAGCAAACACUUAAUGAUACAUCUGGGUCCUUGGCAAAAGAGAAAUCACGCGGGAAAGUAUCUUGGAAUAGAGAAUCAUUCCAAACAUCUUUCCAGAAGAGGACUGUGUCACCCGCCACCACCGAGGCCUGAGUAAGUCCCCUGUACACAUCAGCUAGUUGCAUGAGGUCUCUCCACCAGAACGAGCCACAAAGGUCAGAGGCAUGUGGAAUUCGAUCAUUAUAGUACAAUCGCCAGACUAAGUUAACCCAAGGAACAUCCUCUCUAUUAUAAAAUUUGUGUAGCUGUUUCAAGAGGAGGCCCUGAUUCUGGAUUUUGAGGUUUAUAAUCCCUAAGCCUCCUUGAUGCUUUGGUCUGCACACAAGCUCCCAUGCAGCCAGCGAGUUACCUUUGAGACCAUCAUCAGUUUUCUUUACCCAAAGACAAGAUCUACGGACUUUAUCAAGGUGUUCAAUGAUCUUGGGGUUUAGCUUGAUCGAUCACAUUGCGUAGAUCUCUAGGGAGGUCACAACUGAGUUCACCAGCUUGAGCUUGGAGCCAUAGUCAAGCAAGGAAGUUACUGCUGGUAUCUUUCUCUGAACGGCCGUGACCAUGGGCAUCAGAUCGGUCAUCGUGGGACAUGUGGUCCCCAUGGGCAGCCCCAGAGAUGUAAACAACAUCUGUCCAAUAGCACAACCAAAAAUUCCAGCGAACUCCGAUGCAGUCACCGGGUCCAAGUUGAUCAGAACAAGGGUUGAUUUAUGGAAGUUAAUCUUCAGCCCCACAGAUGUGGCAUAGUAAACCAAGAUAUUUUUCAGAACCUGUGCUUGUCCAGGGCAGGCAGGAAACAUCACAAUCAUAUCAUCUACGUACUGGAUAAUAGGGUAGUCAUCAUCAUGCGACGAGAUUGGGAGUUGCAGCAAACCAGCUCUACAUGCCUCAUUAAUGGCAGCUUGCAACAGAUCGGCUGCGAGGAUGAAGAUGAGGGGAGACAGAGGGCCUCCCUGCCUCACUCCACACAGGCAGGAGAAUUGCUUCCCAGGAGUGCCAUUGAGAAGAACAGAUGAGGAGCCUGAGGAGAAGAUACAUUUAAUCCACCCAAUCCACUUCUCAUCAAAUCCCAUGUGACGCAUGAUCUCAAUCAUAGGUUCGUGCUGAAUCGUAUCAAAAGCCUUGGCGUAGUCUAGUUUGAGCAAACAGCAGGCACGCCCAGAAGCCUGACAUUGGUGGAUGUAUUCAAACGUCCAGGCCAAGCAGUCUUGGAUCAAUCUCCCUUUAAAGAAUCCAUAGUGGUUUUUGUGUAUGACUUUGAGGAUAAUCUUGUGCACACGAUUAGCAAGCAGUUUGGUUAACAGUUUCAGACAACAAUUAAGCAAAGUGAUGGGCCUGUAAUCAUUUGCAGUCUCAGGAGAGUAGGUUUUUGGGAUCAAGGUGAUAAACCCUGAGUUGAGACUCUGCAGGUCUAAAUUUCCAUCAUAAAAAUUAGCAUAGAGCUUGUAAAAGUCUUGCUUUAUGAUAUGCCAACAGGAUUUUAGAAAAACCAUUGAAGCCAUCCAGGCCUAGUGCACGGUUAGAGGGCAUUUCUUGAACAACCUUAUCAAUUUCCUCAUUUGUGAAGGGUUUUGUCAGCUCCUCAAGCCCUUCGAUUUUUUUGAUGAUCUGAGCAAGAUCAAACUUCAUCACGUGUGGUUCUGCCGUGCCCAACCUGUUUUUAUAUGUCUAAAAGAGCUCCUGCAUUUUUCCUGCAUGAUCAGAAACAACAGAACCAUCUUGGAGUUUUAAUUAGGCAAUAGAAUUUCUCCUAAAGCGCUCGCUCGCCGCUGAGUGGAAGAAUUUAGUGUUAUCUCCUCCACACUGAAACCAACAAAUGGUGUACCUUUUCUUCCAGUAUUCUUGUUUAUAUCCAAGGAGAGUGACCAAGUGCUCUUUAAGAAUUUUACAGAAGUUUUUCUCUGGAAUCGUGAGAGAGCUCAAAUUCUCAAUUCCAUCCAGUUCAAGAAGCGCCCAAUUAGAAUUGUCAAUGCACAUAUUCAGUCUUGAAAUAUUCUUGCUCCACUUCUUCAGAGCAUAUCUCAAGUUCUUAAGCUUCUUGCAAAGCAUGGUAGCCGAAUUGUGUGCAAAACAUCUCUUAUUCCAUGUGGACUGAACAAUCUCAAAGAAGCCAGGGUGUGAAAUCCAGAAAUUCUCAAAACGGAAGAAUUUGGAUUUAGGAACUGUGGUUUCAAUCAAGAUUACACAAGGGAUAUGAUCAGAAACUGGUUUUGGGAGGGGGGCCACCAUUGUGUUUGGAUAACUAGAGGUCCAAUUGGCCGAAGUGAAGAACCAAUCUAUUUGUUCCAGCAACAGAUCCGACUACAUAUUGCUCCACGUAUACUUCCUCCCCUUUAUUGGCAGUUCAACCAGGGCUUGUGAUUGAAUAAAGUCAUUAAAAGUAAGCAUAUCAUGCACAUUCCCUCCUGGCUUAUUAUGGUUUUUUGGUACCCUGAUGUAAUUGAAGUCUCCACACAGCAACCAAUCUUCAUCAUCAGGUAUAUCAAGAUCGAACAUCCAGGAGGUGAAAUCGGUUCUAGCAGGGCCAUCGCAUCGGCCAUACACAUUAUACAAUUUCCAAGCUUUAGGAGUUUGUAAAGAAGUAAACUGAACGCCCAGAGCAAAAGAUUCAGAGAAAAUAACAUUGCCCGAAAAGACUGAACUGUCCCAAAUGACAAUCAAACCACCAGAGGCACCUUGAGAUGGAACCACCUCAAAUUUGUCAAACUUUUUAGGACAAAAAGUUUUAACAAAAGACACAUCAUAGCUAGCACGCUUAGUUUCUUGUAAACAAAUAACGGAGCACCCACUACUAUCAAUUGCAUUACGAAGCGCCAAAAGUUUUUGUUCUGAAUUGAUUCCGCGGACAUUCCAGCAGAGCACCUUCCACGCCUUAAGCUGCAUCGGACUUCUGUUCAUCAGGCUCCUAUUCUCCCGCGGACGAGAAUAACUUCUGCUUGCUUAGCUGGCUUGGGCGCAGGCCACACAUAUUAGUACCAAUAGACUGUAUGGUAGAAAUAGGUAUGGGAGGAGGGAUAUCACUAUGUACCUUGCCCUUAUUGUCAGACGUAGAUGGCAUCGUGGCAGUAGAAGAGCACUGCACCACAGGGUCCUUUCUUGGCUUCACUUUAGAAACCGACAAUUUCUGGUCUGACAAAGGUGGCACUUUAAACCCAUCAUAUUUGUUAGAGCGAGCACUUCGGCGCAACAUCACUGUGUCCACAUGGGCAGACUCAUGGAUAUCAAGAUACUAAGGUGAUCUGCAACAAAGACAGAGGGCACAGAAGAAACUGACAUGGUCUUCUCAUUGACAGGUGGAGCUGAGUCUAGAUGCACUACUUGCUCAGUCAGCACUUCAUCAGUCAUUAAGUAAGAACUGUCCAUGAAGAUGACACUGAAGGAGGUUUUGAAGAUGUCCCCAAAUACAUCAGACUCAGGUGAAACAAUGCUCAUCAGAGCCAAACAUACCUUGUUGAGUUGUUCUUUCAUAAGUGUGAAAGGGUUAAGGGCAGAAUAGCUCCCUCAGGGUAUCUAGCAGGUAAGAUAGAUUUAGUAUAAAUAAUCUUCAGCAUGCCACCAAUCCAGCGUAGCAAAUCAGCAUCUGCAGUAACCAGUAAGUAGACUAAAGCACCCCCAGCCCUGACAAAAGCAAACUGAGCAGAGGGGACACCAUUGAUAAAGUUAUCAGCAAUUUCCUCAACCUAAGAAUGUUCAGACCACACAUCAGAUAGGUUAUCAACAAUGUUGUGCUCCUGGUGCACACCAUCCAUAAGACAGGGACCAUCAUAUUCAAAGAAAGUUUUGAAACUGAACCCAGUGUAAGGCGGUGGAAUAGUCGGCCAAGCUCUCCAGCCAUUUUCCUAAACUUCAUCCUGAACCUGAUCUACACCAUUCCACAACAACUCAUUAGCCUCCUGCUGGGCUUCCAUCUCAUUGAUUCUGGCUUGCUACAUCAGAGUAUAAUAAGGCAGUUCAUACGGAUGAGGUGAAGCAUUGAGGAGGGGUGGAUCAUCCUCAUUGUCCACCAGACCAGGAGCCAAGUCUCUGCCAUUAAGCACAUAAAUAGGUACUGACCAAGAGCGACCAACUCCAGGGAGCAUACCAACCCUAGAGACAACCAGACUGUGAGGAACCUGCGCCACGUCCUUGAUAUGACACUUAACUAGAACCCUAGCCUUGUUCUCAUUUGGUCGGGGCCAAGCUAGGAGUUUUCCAAAGUUGGAGAUGGCCUUAUGCACAUAAUGCUCAGUCAUGUAGUCCAUCGGAAAAGCUAGCAGCAUGAUUCAAACUUCAUACUGAAAAGCGGGCAUCCGCAUAUUAAUCCCUUCAUCAUGAGGUGUGAGGGAGAAGUAAGAAUCAUCGGUUAGGGCAUGUGGCCCUUCUCUGAUGGACUCAUCGCGGCUUUGCACAUCCUCAAAUGCAACACAACCAAUACCAAGAGGAUAGACAAACUCAUCUAAAAUAUGAUACUCAAGAUCUUCCCUAAUGAUAUAGCAAAUCUCUUCAAGCCCAUAGCUCUUCUGAUGAUCGGGAACUGGGGGCUAUAUCGAGAUGAUGGCAUACCUGUCAUGGUUCAAAGGCGGGUCGUCCACCUCCAUGACACUCCUCUGAAGCCGAUGGUCCGGGCCACGCUCAAUGUUGGCGCCAAGCAGAGCGAACGCGAACGGAUGAACCGGGAAGUUCGCCAUCUUGCUGCCGUUGAUGAUCUCCGGUGGUGCAGAGCUCUUGGUGGGCGAUGACAGAGCAAGGUGGGAGGAGGCGGAGGUGGUGUUGGAAACUGGGGAGACUGGACUGGAUUGGGGCCCUUGGGNNNNNNNNNNNNNNNNNNNNNNNNNNNNNNNNNNNNNNNNNNNNNNNNNNNNNNNNNNNNNNNNNNNNNNNNNNNNNNNNNNNNNNNNNNNNNNNNNNNNNNNNNNNNNNNNNNNNNNNNNNNNNNNNNNNNNNNNNNNNNNNNNNNNNNNNNNNNNNNNNNNNNNNNNNNNNNNNNNNNNNNNNNNNNNNNNNNNNNNNNNNNNNNNNNNNNNNNGUAAGGGCAGGAGGGAGGCAUAUUGACAUGCAAUGGGAGGACGCCACGUCCUCCUGAGGAUGGUUUUUCUGUUUGACUUGCCAAACCGGUCCCCGAUUUUUUCCUUGUGUGUUCCGAUAUUCUCAAUUUUGUUUUUGGUAUAGAAUCAGAGAAAUCCCAGCAGCCAGGGCGGAAGACUCCAAGGACCCAUGUGAAGUUAUGGGCUUCCAUUCAUAUUUGGGCCAGCACCUAAGAUCAUCAUGGUGUGUGUGGCCCAGGAAACCAUAAGAGACACACCUUUUCAAACCCGGGUAGUGGAUUACUUGGCGGUCAUUCCGGCGGUAGGCUCGACACGAUAACUGAGGGCAGCCCAAGCUGCAUGCCUCAUAUGAAUUAGCCUAACACAAUGUUGACAGAAUUGUCCUGGGCAAUAAGCAAUGAGAUGACCGUGACGAGAGCAUUUGAGACAUUUCAAUAGCCUAGCAUCGAUAUAAGCUUGGGUAGGCGCAUCUGUGAUUUGAACCAUACACUUAACAUCAUGAUCAGAAUAUCCAGCCUCUCAACCAUCCAUAAUGUGAUAUAACUUAUCAUCCGAAAUUGAGUUCUGAUAAGAUUCCCUGAAUUGGGGCCCUUGAAAAAAGAUCUAAUAGAGGGCAACCUAUCCUUCUGAUUGACAACAAAACCUCCCAGCCUAGAAUUCAAAUCAGGAUCCAAAAUAAUCGAGAAGUUGAACUUUCCAAUGGAAAUGCCCUCGGUGGCCGGAACAAUACUCGAGCUCGCUGCCGGCAGGUUGAAAUUUAACCCAGAAGUACUAAACAGCUUUGAAGAAAGAGAUUGAUUUGUCAUCUUUUGCUGAUCCUGAAGCCAUUUAGAUUUAAUAGCAAUAGGUUGAAAACCCACUUCAGGAAGAUGAGUAUCCGCAUGCCAAACCUUAGCAGAAUGAUCAAUGCACGAAUUAAGAUCACCAUGGUAUAGAUGAAAGUGGCAAAUGAAAUCCAGCCAAAUUCAAUCCUUAAGCCCAUAGAUGAAAUGACCAACUCUGUUGGAAGCCACAGAAAACUGAAAGCGGCGAUCACUUAGCCGCAAAAUCCUAAAACCUGAACCGAGUCCACCAAUAUAGGAUUGAAGGGCUAGGGCCACAGAUUCCUCUGUCAACGGAAAGGAGGCCAAGGAAAACGAGACCACUAGGAAGAAUUCCUUGGUGGAUUUGGGAUUGGCCGGCGAAAAGUGCAUCGUAGAUUAGAAUUUGUCACAUACCUGAGAUUCAAUCGCCAGCCCCGGGGAGAAAUCCCAAUGGAGGAGACUCUCCAUGGUAUCAUGGUGGAUGUCACUGCCGGAGUGGCUAGUGACAGGAUGGUGGCCGCUGGGGCUGGAGUGGCCACCGGCGGUAGGAGAGGGAGUCGGCUAGGAGAGGGAGUCACCUAGAGGGAGGUCUCGAACUGGGCCCCUGCUACUCAUCUUAAAUGCUUUUUUAAUUAAACUAAUUUAUAUAAGUGCCAAACUUUUUGUGGCAGUGGCCUAAUUUAUUAAACUAAUUUAGGUGCAAGUUUUAUAUUUUAUAAAACUAAUUUGCUUUAAAAGAAAUAGUAAACAAAAAAUAAAAAAAAGAAGAAAAAGAA
rnacentral:lncRNA from 1 species